UGAUUUUUAUCUGUCCUUUAGAUAUUUGUGCAUAUAAAUUAAAAUAUUAAAUUCAUUUUUUUUAUUCAAUAACAUACCUAAAAAAAAUACAAACACACACACAACUCUUUUUCUAUUAUUAUUUGUUUUUUCUUCUCUUUUCUUUUCUUUUCUUUUCUUUUUUUUUUUACAUCCACAUUUACACCAAGUACAAAUUAUAAAAAAAAAAACUCAAAAUUACACAAAUAUUACAUUACACAAUUUGAAAAUUACAAAAUAAUCCAAAAAAUCAGGAAAAACAACUCUGGGAUGCAUUCUGGGUCUGCCUGAACAGUAGCGGCGCAUCUCCCCACGCGCCUCCGCCAUUGGCGGCGCGUGGAUUCACGCGCCGCUGCUGACAAUGACCGGAAAUGGGCAGAUCUGCCCUGCUUUCUUCUUCCCUUCCCUUCUCUGCUGGCUGUGAGAACCACAGUUACCUGCAAAGGUAAAAACACACAUGCAAAGCUUCCGAUUCUUUUUCCCUUUUUUUUUUUAGAUCUACGCUCUCUUGUCUUCUCCUUUUGGUUUUCUGUUCUUCCCUUCUGCAGGUGGCGGACGGCUCUGAGGUCAGGGUGUCUCUGUGAGCGGCUGGAGGAAGGUGAGCAGCGGCUGGUUUCUGUGGGCGCCGCCGUAUGGGGGCUGUCGCUGGAGGGCAAAUCUGCGAACGCUGCUGGAGGGAGAAGACGGACCGCUCCGAGUCUGUGGGCGAUGCUGCUGCUGACGGCGAAGACCAGGAAGAAGACAGCGGGGGCUGACGUUGUGUUCGGCUUGAGGAAGAGAGCUUGUCCGUGGGUGAGGGGGGAGUGAGCGGCUGCUUAGGUGAGGGGGGAGUGAGCUUGUCCGUGGGUGAGGGGGGACGGCGGCUGUCUUCAACAGGGAAAGGGAGGCUUCGGCUGAGGGGAGAAGACUGGGGUCCGUCUGGUCAGAAGAGGAAGGUCGGCUGAGGGAGAAGAGAAAAAAUCAAAAAAGGGGGGGGGGCUGGCCAGGCGGCGACUGCCUUCUGGUGAGGGAGAGAAAAAGCUAAGCUUUUAGGGUUUGUGUUUUUUUGUGUUGCCUCUCCCCCAAAUCUCAAAAUGGCCCCCCUUUGGUUUUGAGUUUUGGACCUAUAUUUAUAGGUAAAAUGUUGUCCGGACUCAAAAUUGGUCCUUCAAUUUUUUUUUUUGUAAAUUUUGAUUUUUCUUGUUUUUUCUUGUAUUUUUAAAAACGAGCAAUAUCAACGUUGACUCAAAGAGAAAAAUCAAGGAUUUUAAAAACAACGCGUGAAAAUUCGAACGCAUUCGAAAACUUCUGAAAAUUUAAAUUUUUUUUUAGACGACGUUGAAAAUGCUAAAAACGAUGCAAAUAUAUAAAAACAUAUUUUUUUGGAUUUUCGUUGUUUUUCGCUAUUUUUGGAUUUUUUCAAAACUUUUAUCAAAUAGGUGGGUCAAAAAUUGAGUAGCAACAGAUGCCCCCUCUUUACAAUGCUUACGAAGCAAAAUUCCUCAAUGUUUUGCAUAGUAAGCUUUGUAAAGAAAAGAAAAAGAAAAUGAUCUCAUUAUCUUGGGCAACUGCCCCUUUUAAAGAAAAAGUGGUCUAUUUUCACGGGCGACCUGCCCACACAUACUCAUUAUGGUCUAUUUUUAGGGGCGACCUGCCCACACACUCACACGGGUCUAUUUUCACGGGCGACCUGCCCACACAUACUCAAAGUGGUCUAUUUUCACGGGCGACCUGCCCACACACUCACACAAUGGUCUAUUUUCAAGGGCGACCAGCCCACACAUACUCAAAGUGGUCUAUUUUCACGGGCGACCUGCCCACACACUCACACUGGUCUAUUUUCACAGGCGACCUGCCCACACAUACUCAAAGUGGUCUAUUUUCAAAGGCGACCUACCAUUUUGAUUGGGUUUACCUGAGAUCCCAUCUGGCGAUCUAACAAGAACAAAAAUUGGUGUGUAGCUCGGUCAACCUGAAAUCCCAUCUAGCGAUUCCCUUUAACCAAAGCUAAAUUCUGCAUGGUUAGGCUAAACUGAGAUCCUUUUGCCGAUCCCCUUUAACCAGAACCAAAACUCUUGUGUGCGAUUAGGAUAGACUGAGAUUCCUUUCGCCAAUCCCCUCUAACCAGAACCGAAACUCUUGUAUGGUUAGGAUAGACUGAGAUUCCUUUCGCUAAUCCCCUCUAACCAGAACCAAAAUCUAUGUGGUUGGGCUGAACUGAGACCCCUUCGCCGAUCCCCUUCAACCAGAACCAAAACUCCUGUGUGCGGUUAGGAUAGACUGAGAUUCCUUUCGCCAAUCCCCUCUAACCAGAACCGAAACUCCUGUAUGGUUAGGAUAGACUGAGAUUCCUUUCGUCAAUCCCCUCUAACCAGAACCAAAAUCUGUGUGGUUGGGCUGAACUGAGACCCCUUCGCCGAUCCCCUUCAACCAGAACCAAAAUCUGUGUGCGGUUAGGAUAGAUUGAGAUUCCUUUCGCCAAUCCCCUCUAACCAGAAUCGAAACUCCUGUAUGGUUAGGAUAGACUGAGAUUCCUUUCGCCAAUCCCCUCUAACCAGAACCAAAAUCUGUGUGGUUAGGCUGAACUGAGACCCCUUCGCCGAUCCCCUUCAACCAGAACCAAAACUCCUGUGUGCGGUUAGGAUAGACUGAGAUUCCUUUCGCCAAUCCCCUCUAACCAAAACCAAAACUCCUGUAUGGUUAGGAUAGACUGAGAUCAGAACCAAAAUCUGUGUGUGUAGCUCGGUCUACCUGAAAUCCCAUCUGGCGAUUCCCUUUAACCAAAGCUACGUGAGAUCCCAUCUGGCGACCUCCUUUAACAAAAACCAAAAAAUGUAAAAAGUGGUCUCAUUGUAAUGGGUGACCUACCCAGAUGAAAGAAUGUUAAAAACGGUCUCAUUAUGAUGGGUGACCUACCCAAGUGGAAAAAAUGAUGGUCUCAUUGUGAUGGGUGACCUACCCAAAGAAAGAUGGUCUCAUUAUGAUGGGUGACCUACCCAGAGAAAGAUGGUCUCAUUAUGAUGGGUGACCUACCCAGAUGGAAAAAUGUGACUUACCUGGCAAAAAGACUUGGCUGGAGAAGUCUUGACAGGAUAAGGUUGACAAACUGCGCUUCCUGAUUACAGGGUUGACUUGAAGACCCCUCUUGAUGACAGGGUUGAUCUCCUCGUUUCUUUGAGAUUCCCCUACUAGCAGGGUUCAUCUCAUUCUCUUCUCGUUCCAGGAUCUAAACCAAUUCUUUGUUAUCAUCAACUCAAUGAUUCUUUCUUUGUCCACAAUCUUGCUGGACUUCAUUGAGGAUCUUCCUGUAACAAUCACAAGUAUGUGCAGUGCUUUGAGGUUAGAUGGCAUGCAUGCAUCCUUACCUGAUUUGAAAUAUAGGUCCCCCCCUCUUUGAUGAUCCAUUGUUAUGAGGUGCCUUUGUUUGCAUUCCAAAGCUUUCUUUGUUCUUUCGAUGCAUUUGCGUGCUAGCCUUCUACUCAAAUGCAAGUACAAUGCCCAUCUUAGGCUGUCCACGGUGAUUACUACUCUCGUUGUUUAUCAAGCUGGACUCUGCCCCCAAGUGUGGUGUUGCUUGAUUCAUCAUGAAGGAUUUUCUCUUUUGGAUUCUUCUAAGAAUUAUCCUCUGAUUGGUUGUGUGCAUCAUGCCAACACCCAUCAAAAUGGUCAAUCAAUCAUGAACUUACUUCCAGCUAAAACAAUACUUUUCAAGUAUAUGUUAUCAUCAACCUUCUUGGAACUGUCAGGUCAUCCAGACAUGGAUCUCAUACCUUGCAGUAAAAGCCUCAUCGUUGUUAGCUCAAUGUUUUUCUCCAUGGAUUCCUCUCAGUUUGUCAAAUCAAAUCAUGAAAGGAAAUGCAUUGGCAUCAUCAAUGAUGUUCAUCACCCAUAUUCAUGCAGUGAAGUGCGCAUUUGAGCUUCAAAACAAAUGGUCCCACAGUCAAUCUUAGUGGGUGCAUCCUUCCAACAUUCAUUCAAAUGCAACAAUGUGAUAACAUCGCUCAAAAGUCAUAGCCAUGUUGGAGAUGAUAAACCAAAAUGAAGAUAUGAAAAUAUCCUUCAAGUGCAGCGUUGCCCAUUAAUUGCUGCUGAAGUUCACUAAAUCAUGGAUUGUCUUUGAACAACAUUGCCCCCAAUAUGAUCUGAACAUGCUCAUUCUUCUUUCUAUAACCAAAUGGCUUUUGUGAUCGCUAAGAAUGACUUUGAUGGACUUCGCCAACUCAUCGUUCGAUUCUUUCUCUGCCCCCAGCUGAUCUGAAUACCUUUUGUUUUCCUUCUCAGGGUCCACUGUAUUGACCCAGGUGGUCAACUUUUCAAGGAGUGUCAAGAAGUGUUGAUGUCAUUCUUGUCAAGGAUUUUGCAAACUCGAUCGAUAUUCUUCUUAUUUGACAAUCUUUCUAUUCUGGAAUCAACUCUCAUACUCCAAAGAUCAUGUCUAUCCAAAGUCUAGUUGUUGGAAUGAAAUCAGAGAGAUGUCAAUUUUGAAAAGUAUUUUUGGAAAUCAAGCUUGUUUGGUCAAAGAUCCAACACACGUUAUUCAAUGUAGUCCUUUGAUUGUCGUGUAUUUUGAAAACAGAAAUGACCCGUUGUAAGAUUAAAAUGACUUUUUUCAUGGUUCUUUGUGUCAGUUUUAAUCUUUGAUCUUUGGGUAUACCUUUCGAUGGUCUACGAUGAGGUGACCUUCUGUGAAUUUCAAGAAACAAAAGGCUCAAGUCAAAACUUGAGGAUUCAUCAAGAAAGAUUGUUUUCUUUUUUUUAGCACCAAUUUUAUCAGCAUGCAUAAUAACCAGUAGCUUAAUCCAUGAAGUCACGACCCUUAUGGAAAAGCUCUUCAAGUUUUGAGAGCGCCAUUUAUCAAUUCAAAUUGCUUGCUUGAUUAAAAAGGGCUUUUAAAAGCACGUAAUGCAGGCUAUGGUUCAUGGCUAUGAAAGAAAGGAAUUUCACAGGCUCAAAUGGUGUUUAAGGGUUUCAAAGACCCAGGAUCAACAUCAACUAUUCACCAACUUGUUUUCUAUUGUUGUCUUUGUAGAGGAAACGACAUAUAACCUUGUUAAUCUCAAAGAUCAGACUUCUCUUAACAUAAGUCAUAAUGCAAAUCCACCUUUCCUUAAUGAAUAACCAACCUUAAUCAUCUGAUAACAUCAUAGGCUUGAUAAUGGAAACCAAAAGUCACGUUUAUAGCUUAGUCUUUUUUCUGGUGUUGACUUUUGUUGUGUCUUUCCUUGAUUGAAAUUUCUUUUGCCCUUCCUAGACUUGAUAGGCGUUCUCCUUCCUUUAUCUUUGACUUGCCUUUAAACGAAGGCAAUUUCAACUUCUUCUUUUUUUCAAUUCUUUUUUUUUUCUUUUUUUUUCUUUUUUGUUUUCUCAUAGCCUUCCUCAAAAUUUCUUAUAUGCCCCCAGUCUAUGUGUUUUCUUUUAGCCCUCUCUCAAUCAUUGGACUUUUGUUCUAAGCCUUCCCCUUUAUCCAUUAAUUAUAUCAAUGUCUCCAACAUAUCUCUCAUCUGCCCCCAGUGUGGGGUGUGAUCCAAGUCAGGGUUUUUAUGAAAAGAAUAUUCUAUCCAGCUCAAAAUGGGACUACAAGGGAUAUAAUCUUUAGAAAGUGAAGGGAUAUCAAAGAUGGCCUUUUCUCAUUUCAAGCAAGGUCGGUUAGAACCGAUCAAUUUUGACCCCAUCCGGUGUAAUGAUUGGGACUUGUAAGAAUUAUGAUUCACGAGUCCAUAACUACCGAAUCCACUACAUGUUAUUAUGCAUACUGCUAAAACUUAGCUAUAUGAUGUGUGGUUCAGUUUCAGGAGGUAUGAGUUCAAAAUUGUUUAGUCACCUCAUGUCAUUUUCAAGCAUCGAGUCAUUUCUGUAAUCAAAACACUUUUAAUCUUCCGGAUUGAUUAACCUUUAUCGCAUGUUGGAGUUUGAUCAAAAUAUUUUGUCAGAAUGAAAUGCUAAACAUCUUUGGAUUUCAAAACAACAAAGAGACAAAAACAAGACAUGUUUCGUUAAAGGAUGAGAUGUGAUCCCAAAACAAAAUGCAGAAUUCCAUAACAAUAUGAUUGACAAUUCAUCGCCAUUCUUGAAUCAGCUUUUCUGGCAAUAUCUGUGUUUUGCCAAGCACUUUCGAUCACAUGUCAUUCUGAAGAUGUUCGGGGGAUAAUAUAGCCAAUGACACUCUCCUUCACAAACUCUACUUGUCUCUUGCUCACUGACUUCCGGACUCGCUUCUUGAAAUUCUUGCAACUGUUCCAGUAAAUGGCUGAGUACCCCACCAUGACAUCACAUCUCUUGUUCGGAUUAUACCACCUAAAAAAUGGUAGUUGCAUGGGAUUUGUCGGAGUCAAGCAAAAAUCUGGAAUCUGGCAGAUGCUGGUAAAUAAACUCACAUGACAACUGUUCAAUUGAAAUUCUUGCAGCAAUUCCAUUGAAAUGGCCGAGGACCCCACCAUCACAUCACAUCACAUCACAUCUCUUGUCUGGAUUAUACCACAUGGCAAAUGAAUGUCUAUCUUUGGCAAAGACAUUGGAGUAGUCGAUGAUACAACGAGACUUGGCUAGACCACAUAAUUAAGGUUUCCCACCGUCAGAGUCUUCCUUUGAUUCAUCUCUCAUCAUUGUUCUGGAAUCCUUGGCAGAACCUUCAAUCUUUCCCAUCUUGAUAGCUUGUUCAUUUUUUUGGCAAUUCAUACAACUUCAUGUCAAUCUUCCAAUGUUAUUGUUGUUGUUUUAGGAUUGUUGGAAACCUCUCAAUAGCUAAGGAAUCCUGGUAGUGCAUAAAAACAAAAACGUGUGGAAUCACACAUUGUCAAAACUGGAAGAGAGCCCGAUGAAUCUAAAGCUCCUCUAUCUCCUCUUCGAUUCCUCACAGACAAUGGAACAAACAGACAUCUGUAAAGGGAGUUCUGCUCUGUUAAAGUUUCAGUCUUCUUCAUGUUGUUUAGUCCAGGUUUGUCUUUUCUCCCUUCUUUUGCGUUGUAAUGUCGAUACUGGUAGGGGAAAAUUGUGGACAAUCUGAAACCACUGCAUCCCUUCUUGGGUUUCCCACUUGCAGACCCAUAAACAGAUUUCUGCUGAGAAAGCUCUGCCACGUUGAAGUUUGAUGUCUACUCAUGUUUUUCAGACUAGAUCUGACUCUUCUCCCUGCUACAAUGUUUUGCUGGUGCCACUGGUGGGAGAAAUUUUCAAAGCAUGUGAAACUACUACAUCCCCUCUUGCAUUCCCCACAAAUAAAUCUUUACAGAGAGCUCUGCAACGUGGAAGUUCAGUGUCUAAUCCUGUUGCUGAACUGGAAUUGAGCUCACAAUUGUGGUAACUUUAAAGAAGACUAAUGCACCAUGCAUAUGAGGCUAGUAGUUAUUUGGUUCCAUUAAAAGAUGUGGAGGCGAUGAAAAAUUAACAGUGCAACUGAACAAGAGCAAAGGUUGUCAUUAGCUGAUGACUAAAAGCAUUGUUGUUGCUGUUCAUGACUGAAAAGGAGAGGUACAGCUUCAAUUAGACGUGAAUAAGCAGUGUUCCCACAGAAGACUGUGCAGACAUUCUCUUUCCAUUUGAUGCUCAACACUUGUUCGAGCAAAUCUGAGUCUAGCUACUUCACCUUUGAUGCUCUCAACCUCAAUCUGAUAAUGAGCCUCUAUCCAUAAUCUUUCUUCCCUUCCAUCAUCUUUCUUCCAUCACGUGCAGCACAGCUUGUGCGAGGGACCUACCUUUCAACCCGGUACAUGCAUGAUAAAUGUAUGAAUAUGUAAUCUAUAUGACGAACUCGCCCUUCGAGGGGUGACAUAUGAUCGCAACUCUUGCAUGAUGAAACAAGAAUCUUGAUUCUUGCACAAACUCUACAAUGAAAAUUUUCUGAGCGACGAUCAUUGUGUCACCCAUAAGUCUGGAGUUCAAGAUGCUUCAAGAAGGGCUUGCUUGGAUGCAAAACAAUGUCUACGGAGCAUACAUCCUAAAGACAGUUCUAAUCCUUUUUAAGUGGGACAAAAGGUAGGUUUACUACUUGGUCUCUAAAAAGGGUCUCUCGUUGUCCCAGUGAUUACCCUCUUGAAGGCAAUAUAGGGGCUUGUAGGCAAUGAGAUGGCACGUGUCCAACUAUUACCAGUCUAAGCACUCAACGAAGAGUUGGGGUUUACACAAACUUAAACCUUGACUAAAAUCAUAAGGUAAGCUGCUAGUCCCCCUCCUAACCUGAAGCUUGUGUGUGCUUUAAAAAAUUACACUAUGUGAUGCAUGAGACAAUUCUACAAAAUGCAUGGAUAAAACAAAAAUAAAAUAGGACAAAAUUGUAAAAACAUAAACGCAUCAAAAACACAAAGCUUAGUCCAAUAAUGUUGAAAACAAUACCUUCCCCAGUGGAGUCGUCAUUCUGUCGCACGUCCGAAAAUCCGCGCGGCAUCGGGCUUGACGACUUUUUCGUCUUCUCGUUUGCUUUGAUUACAUCGUUAGGAGUCGCCACCUAGUAUUUAAUUGAGGGCUACUAGGAAACCCGGGUGUACUGGUCUCGUCAGAGAUUCAUGGGUAAGGGACUGGUUGUGGUUAGGGAAGGUAUUAGCACCCCUAACGCACCCUACCUGAGGUAAGCUGCUUCGUGGACUUGAUGUGUUAAAGAAGUUUUAAAAUUCGGUUCAUUCAUCGAAUUUUAGAAAAUACAACUUACACUUACAUGUAAGUUCAUAAUUCUUUAUCCGUGAGCAAAUCAGAAUAUUAAAUUCUUCUUUAUUCUCGCAAUUUUAUCCUAAAAAAAACAUUCAUAAACAAAAUACACACCACACAUUCACUUUCAAGCUUCGUGGACUUGAUGUGAUUUAAAAAAUAAAAUUUUAGCCCAAUUCUAAGGCUUUGAUAAAUCAGUUAUUACUUCCCAAAAUAUAUGUAGAUACAUGUUCUAUAUUUUUAUGGAAAAUACAACAUGAUUUUUAUCUGUCCUUUAGAUAUUUGUGCAUAUAAAUUAAAAUAUUAAAUUCAUUUUUUUUUAUUCAAUAACAUACCUAAAAAACAAUACAAACACACACACAACUCUUUUUCUAUUAUUAUUUGUUUUUUCUUCUCUUUUCUUUUCUUUUUUUUUUUCUUACAUCCACAUUUACACCAAGUACAAAUUAUAAAAAAAAAACUCAAAAUUACACAAAUAUUACAUUACACAAUUUGAAAAUUACAAAAUAAUCCAAAAAAUCAGGAAAAACAACUCUGGGAUGCAUUCUGGGUCUGCCAGAACAGUAGCGGCGCGUCUCCCCACGCGCCUCCGCCACUAGCGGCGCGUGGAUUCACGCGCCGCUGCUGACAAUGACCGGAAAUGGGCAGAUCUGCCCUGCUUUCUUCUUCCCUUCCCUUCUCUGCUGGCUGUGAGAACCACAGUUACCUGCAAAGGUAAAAACACACAUGCAAAGCUUCCGAUUCUUUUUCCCUUUUUUUNNNNNNNNNNNNNNNNNNNNNNNNNNNNNNNNNNNNNNNNNNNNNNNNNNNNNNNNNNNNNNNNNNNNNNNNNNNNNNNNNNNNNNNNNNNNNNNNNNNNGGGUGUCUCUGUGAGCGGCUGGAGGAAGGUGAGCAGCGGCUGGUUUCUGUGGGCGCCGCCGUAUGGGGGCUGUCGCUGGAGGGCAAAUCUGCGAACGCUGCUGGAGGGAGAAGACGGACCGCUCCGAGUCUGUGGGCGAUGCUGCUGCUGACGGCGAAGACCAGGAAGAAGACAGCGGGGGCUGACGUUGUGUUCGGCUUGAGGAAGAGAGCUUGUCCGUGGGUGAGGGGGGAGUGAGCGGCUGCUUAGGUGAGGGAGAAGAAACCAACGGGGUCCCUAGCCGGGGGAGGGGACGGCGGCUGUCUUCAACAGGGAAAGGGAGGCUUCGGCUGAGGGGAGAAGACUGGGGUCCGUCUGGUCAGAAGAGGAAGGUCGGCUGAGGGAGAAGAGAAAAAAUCAAAAAAGGGGGGGGGGCUGGCCAGGCGGCGGCUGCCUUCUGGUGAGGGAGAGAAAAAGCUAAGCUUUUAGGGUUUGUGUUUUUUUGUGUUGCCUCUCCCCCAAAUCUCAAAAUGGCCCCCCUUUGGUUUUGAGUUUUGGACCUAUAUUUAUAGGUAAAAUAUUGUCUGGAUUCAAAAUUGGUCCUUCAACUUUUUUUUUUGUAAAUUUUGAUUUUUCUUGUAUUUUUAAAAACGAGCAAUAUUAACGUUGACUCAAAGAGAAAAAUCAAGGAUUUUAAAAACAACGCGUGAAAAUUUGAACGCAUUCGAAAACUUCUGAAAAUUUAAAUUCUUUUGUAGACGACGUUGAAAAUGCUAAAAACGAUGCAAAUAUAUAAAAACAUAUUUUUUUGGAUUUUCGUUGUUUUUCGCUAUUUUUGGAUUUUUUCAAAACUUUUAUCAAAUAGGUGGGUCAAAAAUUGAGUAGCAACAUACCUCAUUACUAAACAUAAACUCAAUGUUUGACUGCGAUUUAUGAGUUGCAAAGUUUAUAAUUAUUUAUUUAUUUAUUUAUUUCCUUUCUUUUCUCUUUUGUUGUUAUUUGAAAUGUUCAAUAACAAGAUUAACAUUAAUGAAUUAUGAAUGCUUGUGUAAACUCUCUGUGUAUGGGCUUUGGCCAGUUUAAGAAAAGAAAAUCAAGCAAACAAAAUAAAUGUUAAUCCCAAACAAUGUGCUUCUAGCAGCAAAAUAGAAGACAUUAUCGUUUUUGAAAGAAAGAAAAAAAUGAUAUAAUUUAAGCAGCAUAUGAAUAGAUGAUCGGAGUGUGUAGAAGUGAUAUUCAAACUCUAGUAAAAUACAAUUCAAUUAUAAUUGACAAUGGAAAUUAUUUUCCACAAAUAUCCCUUUUUAUUUCUUUCUAAAAGCUUAACUUACUUCGAUUGAAAAUUGGGUUAAAAUACGGUGGUUAUGCACGAAUUGAUGUUACUGGGUUCAAACUUCGACAUGACUGUUAAGAAUAUAAGCUUUUAUUUGUUGAGAUUUGAUUUGAUUAUUGUAAGGUAUACUUAACUUGUUUAUAGUUUUACAAAGAUGUAGGAAAAGAAGCCAUACAUUAGUUUUUAUCUCAGAUCUUUCAUUACCUGGAAUCUGAGAUGGAAAAAAAGCCAGCAUGCAAUUGGCUAUAUUCCAUUUAUAUAAGAGAUUGGGCCAAAAUAUGUGUUGGUUUGAAAAUUAUAAUGUAAAUUAAAGUUGCGAGAAUUUGUUUGAUUGACCACUAUUAAGAUUACUUAGUUGGCUUCCCACUUGCUGUCACAAAAGUUGAAGUUUAUAGGUACUUUUAUCUGAAAAAAUAAUGGUUUACAUUGCAAAAAUAUUUAGUCAUACUUAUAUGAUUCCAUGUGAUGCCUUACAAUUAGAUAUAGGUCCGCACUACACCUUAAGGCCAUAUUUUUUCAUAAAUAAACAUGUUCAAGUGUCACAAGCACACUUUAAAGAAAGAAAAAAAUCCGUGACUUGGGUUAUAAACUUUAAUGGAUCAAAUAGUUGUUUUUAUUUUAAUUCAAUGUUAAAGAAAUAAGGUAUGAUAUUAAAUGGACCAAUUGUUUCUUAAAAAAUAUCUUGAUAAUUUGGGAAGAAAAUUUUUUUUUACAAAAAGGGAAAAAUUAUACAAAUUUGUUAUUAGUCAAUUAAAUAUGGAAGGAUAAAAUUGAAUAAAAAAACAAAAAAAACUCAACCCGAGUCAAAUAGAGUUAGCAUGACAAACUUGUAAUCUAAAUAAUAAAGGGCAAGCCAACUUGGGUCAACCCACCAAGCCACCGGUCCAGAUCAUAAGAUUGAGAUAACUUAAUGAAAAAGUAAAUGAAGGAAAUCACAAAGCCUAUUUCUAUAUAUAUAUAAAAAAAACAAUUUCAAAUGAUGAAAUCAAAAAAGAAAAUAAGUUUUGUUUUUAGAAAAACAUAUGUCAACCCACUUCACUUUUCAAACUCAUAACCCCAGUCAUUAGACCGAAAGCACCAUAUCUAGUAAAACCAAAAGUUCAAUCCCCAAAUAAUCAAAUGUUAAAGAAUAAAAUCAGGAAAAAAAACUCAAUUAUACAAAAGAAAUCAAAAUUAAAAAUAGCAAUUGAAAGAAUAACGAUCAAUUGCAGAUCUUUUAUUGAAAGGAAAAAUUGAAAAGAAGAAUCAAUUUACCAAAAGCACUAAAUGGAGCAAUAAAAAAAGUAAGGAUCAAAUUGAAAAAAAUUUAAAAAAAAAAUAGGAAUGAAGAAUGAAAUUGAAAACAAAUAAAGAUUUUACACAAAAGGGCAAAGAACAAAAAUAGAAAUAAAAACAAUAAGGAUACAAUUGGAAAAAAAAUAUAUUAUAAAUUUAGAUUGGAUGAUGAAUUUGAAGAUAAAUAAAAAAAACACAAAAUGUUCAAGAAAAAAAUAGAAAUCAAAAGAAAAAGGAUCAAAUUGAAAGAAAAAUAACAAAUUGGGAUUGAAUGAUGAAAUUAAAAACAAUUAAGAACUUUACAAAAAUAUCAAGAGCAAAAAUUACAAAUAAAAAGAACAAAGAUUAAAGUUAAAAUAUGAACAGCUAGAAGGACAAAUAUGAAAAUUUGAAUGGCUAGUAUGAUUUUAAAAGGUAAGAAAGAGAAAAUAGAGAGAAAAAACACUUACAGCGACAAACCGUGUCAAUUCAGCCACCACACGUCGCUCCAAAAAGAAGAGGACAAUGUGAAGAUUCCAACGACAAGAUAAAAAGGGAGUUUUUGGCCGCUGGGAGGUGUCGUACUCACCGCUAAAAGGAAAUGGGCGCCUCCCAUGCAUUGGAAUGUACAUCCCACGGGCCAAUAAAAAACUAAAUUGUCCUUAAUCAACUUCAUAAUUGUCGCACCCUCGCGAGUGGAGCGCGGCGUCGCGGCGAUCCUCGGUUGGUUUCGGGUCUUUUGUUUUGAUUGUGGAUAAAGGGAGUCGCCACCUAGUAUUAUGGUCACUAGGAAACCUAACUGGUCUUUCAGAGAUUCUAAGGCAAGGGACUGGUUGCGUAAAGGGAAGGUAUUAGCACCCCUAGUACGCCCUACCUAAGGUAAGCUGCUUGGUGUUAAUUUGGUUUGUCUUAUAAUUGCUAUGGUGUUGGUGUUUUCUAAUCCCAUCAAUUUUCCUAGGUUUGAUUCAAACUAAAUUUAUUAAGAUAGAAAUCCAAGGAGAUUCCAUGUGCUUUAAAAGCUCAUUUUUCCCUUAGUAUUUCAUACUCUUACGGCUCGUAAACCGCGGAGUAAAAAAAAAUUGAAAUGUCCUCGAUUACAAUCAAGGCUUCUUUCAAGGAUGUGUAAUGACUUAUUAUUCCUAGAAAAAUAUUUUGGAUAUUCAUCCCUUUGGGGUUUCUUUAUCCAAACAUUAACGGUGAAUAAUAGAUUAAUUCCCCCCAAAAUAAGAUUUUUAUAUUUUUUGGAAUAUUGGCCAAUACCUUUUGGAGUUUUACAAACAUGUUGUAAAAUCCAGAAAUGCAAGAAAAUAAUUUUUUGUUGUGUUUAAGAAAUCCAUGCGAAAACACAUUUUCGAAACUUCCAAUAUUUUUUUUAUAUAAAAAGAACGUUCAAAACAUGUUAGAGUAUUGGCCGUAUGCAGCACACAAUAAAACAUUUUUUUAUAUUUUUUUAUCAAAACGCAAACAUCACGAAAAAUAUUCACCUAUUCUAAAAUUCGCAAGAAGCUUAAAACAAUUAAUCUCAAAUAAACAAGGUUCAGCACACCAAUUUAAAACACAAGUCAGUGUGCACAAAACAUAUAAAAAAACAAAGUCCUGAAGCUAACAAAAAUUACAACAUGAACCGUGACCCCCCUGCAAACUCAAAAAAAAAAAAAAAGAUGGCUCUUCGAACCCAACCCGGUUACUGGACCAAACCAGUAACCGGUUCGGCCACUGUUGCAUGCAUAUGCAUGCUACAGUGGCUAGAUAAUUAAAUUUGCAAAAGUGACAAGAGUGCAGGGCGCUUACCUGAUAGCUGACGGGCGAAGAUGAUGCUGCAGUUUCUUGCGCACAACCGGUCAUCACUGAUUCUGAAGACAAUGACGACCGCUGGUAACUGGUGUUGGUCUCUGUCUAUCUCUUCUUGCCGACGCUUUCUCUGGAGACGGCGAAGACGAUGAUGAAGGUGUGAUGUGCUGGCGAAAUGGAUGUUCUUCCCUCUGUGUUUUCUUGCUCCUUCUCUGUUUUCUUGUGAGCUGCUGCUUCGGCUAAUACCUAUGAAAGAAAACGUUGCACCGCUGGAGGAGAAGAAAACUGGAGACGGAAACGAAGGGAUGAAGGCGAUGGCGAGGGCGUGCUGGUUGGUCCCUCUGUGUUUUCUUUUGUUUAUGUUCUUUCCUUCUGCUCGUCCCUGUUGUGCUCUUCUUCGUCCGUUUGUUUCUAUGAUUUUCUUUCCCGUGCUUCCCCUGUUUCUCCCUCUGUAUUUUCUGUUCAUCCUUCCUCUCACUCGCAUCCGUCUUGUCUCUACUGAGAAGAAAUGCAUGGUUGCUGUUGCUAUGGCUGGCAUGCUCACGGUAAGAGAGUGAGGGCUGGUGCUUACGGGUGCUCUCGGUGAGAGGGAGAUUAGUUCGGGAGGAGAUGGUGGUCAUGGUUUGGGGAAGAUGGUGUGGGUGUACAUGGGAUGCUGGUUUGAGUAACAACCGGGGCUGCUGAGGGAGGCUGGGAUGAUUGGAGAUGACGGGUCCGGCUAAAAAUGGGGAGGUGAGUAGCGGCUUCUGUAAAGAUAAAUUUAGGUUUAGGGUUUUUGUAUUACCCUUAAUUUUUUUUUUUGUCUUCAAACUACUCCCUUGUGAAUUUUCUUCCCCCUUUGCAUAUGGCUGGAGGUUUACUUAUAUAGAAAAUCUCUACACGUGUUAUUUAAGGAAAUAUUGCAAUAAUUAUUGUAGAGAUUGUCUUCUAUAACCAGCACCAACAAAUCCUAUAGAUAUGGUAUUUUAUAUUGCAAUGAUUAUUUUUCAUAACCAGCACGNNNNNNNNNNNNNNNNNNNNNNNNNNNNNNNNNNNNNNNNNNNNNNNNNNNNNNNNNNNNNNNNNNNNNNNNNNNNNNNNNNNNNNNNNNNNNNNNNNNNNNNNNNNNNNNNNNNNNNNNNNNNNNNNNNNNNNNNNNNNNNNNNNNNNNNNNNNNNNNNNNNNNNNNNNNNNNNNNNNNNNNNNNNNNNNNNNNNNNNNNNNNNNNNNNNNNNNNNNNNNNNNNNNNNNNNNNNNNNNNNNNNNNNNNNNNNNNNNNNNNNNNNNNNNNNNNNNNNNNNNNNNNNNNNNNNNNNNNNNNNNNNNNNNNNNNNNNNNNNNNNNNNNNNNNNNNNNNNNNNNNNNNNNNNNNNNNNNNNNNNNNNNNNNNNNNNNNNNNNNNNNNNNNNNNNNNNNNNNNNNNNNNNNNNNNNNNNNNNNNNNNNNNNNNNNNNNNNNNNNNNNNNNNNNNNNNNNNNNNNNNNNNNNNNNNNNNNNNNNNNNNNNNNNNNNNNNNNNNNNNNNNNNNNNNNNNNNNNNNNNNNNNNNNNNNNNNNNNNNNNNNNNNNNNNNNNNNNNNNNNNNNNNNNNNNNNNNNNNNNNNNNNNNNNNNNNNNNNNNNNNNNNNNNNNNNNNNNNNNNNNNNNNNNNNNNNNNNNNNNNNNNNNNNNNNNNNNNNNNNNNNNNNNNNNNNNNNNNNNNNNNNNNNNNNNNNNNNNNNNNNNNNNNNNNNNNNNNNNNNNNNNNNNNNNNNNNNNNNNNNNNNNNNNNNNNNNNNNNNNNNNNNNNNNNNNNNNNNNNNNNNNNNNNNNNNNNNNNNNNNNNNNNNNNNNNNNNNNNNNNNNNNNNNNNNNNNNNNNNNNNNNNNNNNNNNNNNNNNNNNNNNNNNNNNNNNNNNNNNNNNNNNNNNNNNNNNNNNNNNNNNNNNNNNNNNNNNNNNNNNNNNNNNNNNNNNNNNNNNNNNNNNNNNNNNNNNNNNNNNNNNNNNNNNNNNNNNNNNNNNNNNNNNNNNNNNNNNNNNNNNNNNNNNNNNNNNNNNNNNNNNNNNNNNNNNNNNNNNNNNNNNNNNNNNNNNNNNNNNNNNNNNNNNNNNNNNNNNNNNNNNNNNNNNNNNNNNNNNNNNNNNNNNNNNNNNNNNNNNNNNNNNNNNNNNNNNNNNNNNNNNNNNNNNNNNNNNNNNNNNNNNNNNNNNNNNNNNNNNNNNNNNNNNNNNNNNNNNNNNNNNNNNNNNNNNNNNNNNNNNNNNNNNNNNNNNNNNNNNNNNNNNNNNNNNNNNNNNNNNNNNNNNNNNNNNNNNNNNNNNNNNNNNNNNNNNNNNNNNNNNNNNNNNNNNNNNNNNNNNNNNNNNNNNNNNNNNNNNNNNNNNNNNNNNNNNNNNNNNNNNNNNNNNNNNNNNNNNNNNNNNNNNNNNNNNNNNNNNNNNNNNNNNNNNNNNNNNNNNNNNNNNNNNNNNNNNNNNNNNNNNNNNNNNNNNNNNNNNNNNNNNNNNNNNNNNNNNNNNNNNNNNNNNNNNNNNNNNNNNNNNNNNNNNNNNNNNNNNNNNNNNNNNNNNNNNNNNNNNNNNNNNNNNNNNNNNNNNNNNNNNNNNNNNNNNNNNNNNNNNNNNNNNNNNNNNNNNNNNNNNNNNNNNNNNNNNNNNNNNNNNNNNNNNNNNNNNNNNNNNNNNNNNNNNNNNNNNNNNNNNNNNNNNNNNNNNNNNNNNNNNNNNNNNNNNNNNNNNNNNNNNNNNNNNNNNNNNNNNNNNNNNNNNNNNNNNNNNNNNNNNNNNNNNNNNNNNNNNNNNNNNNNNNNNNNNNNNNNNNNNNNNNNNNNNNNNNNNNNNNNNNNNNNNNNNNNNNNNNNNNNNNNNNNNNNNNNNNNNNNNNNNNNNNNNNNNNNNNNNNNNNNNNNNNNNNNNNNNNNNNNNNNNNNNNNNNGGGUCUCUUUCUACAGGGCUGGACUCAGCCCAGCAGCAUGGGCUGGGCUGGGGUUCCAGCCCAAAACAACAGUAAACGGGGUCACUGUACAUCGGGGUACUGUACACGCAUAGUAACCGGGGUACUGUACACGCAUAGCAACCCGUUAAUUAAUUAGCUGGUUACUGUGCACAUGUACAGUAACCGGCUAAUUAUUUUCUUGCUUGCAGAACGUGCACAGUGCACGUUCCGCAUGCAAGAAGAUGAACAGUAAAACGAGAUAAGGGGCAGAGGGCUGACCUGUGGUGGCUCUGAUGGCGGUGCUGCUGGCGGUUGCUGACCGGAGAAUGGCUUGGACGGUGGUGAGCUUUUCUUCCCUUUCUUCACUGUGUUUUCCCUUACUCUGUUCUCCUCUGCUUCUCCUUUCUUCUUCUGUUUCUCACGGUGCUCUUCCCUCUCGCGGUGGUUCUGCUGUUGUUUGGCAGCUUUGAUGGUGCUGGUGGCAAUGGAGAGGAUGCCCGAAGACAGCAGUUGUUUUCUUCUUCUUCUUCCCCUUCUGCUCGCGAGGCAGGUGCUCCCUUUUUCUUCAAGCAGCAACGCCAGGUGGGAGGAAGGUGAUGAACUGAGGCAGGAUGGUGGUGGCGUUUGGCAAUGCUGGUGCAGUUGGCGUGUUACUGCAACUGCUCCUGGUGUUGCCGCUGCUGCUCUUCCUCCUGGUGUUGGUGUUGCUGCUGCUGCUCUUCUCCUGGUGUUGCUGCUGCUGGGCUAGAGGAGAUGAUGAGGGCGUUGGCAGCGUUGGUGCGGCUCCUGGUGUUGCUGCCGCUGCUGGGAUGGAGGAGAAAACGAGGUCGGUCUGGGGCUCCGUUGACAGAGAAGGCUGUUUCGGGUGCUCUCUCUCUUUCUCGUUCCAAAAACACGCCUCCCCUUUUAGUUUUCCAGCCCCCCUCCCGUUCAACAAAACUCUCCUCGUUUUAAACUUCUUCCUCUCUCCGUUUCAAAAAGUUUUCCCCCCCCAUUUUUUUCUGCUGUGUUGGGUGCUAUUUAUAGAGCAAGUGGGUGUGGCUUUUGCUGUUGCGCAUGGGAGCGGGUCUCGCGGCGGCUGGUCGGCCAUUGGGUGCUACUGUCGAGGUUCGGCUCCAACGGCAUGGAGCGCGGCGGGUAGAGGAACAGUGUCAAAACGACACUGUUCAAAUUCUUUUUAUUAUUAUUAUUAUUAUUAUUAUUAUUAUUAUAUUUUUUUUUAUUUGUGGGGACCCAAAAAUGGGUUACAACAGAUGCCCCCUCUUUAUAAUGCUUACGGAGCAGCAUGGGUUUUGCGUAGUAAGUUUUAUAAAGAUAAACAAAACUGAACUUCCGAAACUGAUAUUGUCGAAGCUUGAUCUAUCUGGAACUGUCUUUACAGCAGCUCGCCUUCAACCCGAAAAAAAUGAUCAAAACUUAGUCCUCUUGAGAUCCCAAUCCGGCGAUCCCCUGACCUCUAACUUGGAUUAGAUUAACCUGGCAUUCCAUCCGAGAUCCAUUCUGGCGAUCUCUUUUAACUAAAAAUCCAUAUUUGUAGUUGGGCCAAACUGAAAUCCCAUCUGACGAUUUCCCUUAGCUAAUAUCGAUGUUACGGUUGGGCUAACCUGAGAUCCCUUCCGGCGAUUCCUUUACCCAUAACCUAAAUACAAAAACACGUAUGUGGUCUCAUUAUGACGGGUGACCUGCCCGAAUGGGAAAAGGAAAGAGUGGUCUCAUUAUUAUGGGUGACCUACCCAGGGGGAAGAAUGGCCUCAUUAUUAUGGGUGACCUACCCAGGUAAAAAAAGAUGAAGAAUGGUCUCAUUGUAUGGGUGACCUACCCAGGAAAAAUGAUGGUCUCAUUGUAUGGGUGACUAACCCAAGAAAAAUGAUGGUCUCAUUGUACGGGUGACGAACCCAAGAAAAAUGAUGGUCUCAUUGUACGGGUGACUAACCCAAGAAAAAUGAUGGUCUCAUUGUAUGGGUGACGAACCCAAGAGAAAUGAUGGUCUCAUUGUAUGGGUGACCUACCCAAGAAAAAUGAUGGUCUCAUUGUAUGGGUGACCUACCCAAGAAAAAUAAUGGUCUCAUGUANNNNNNNNNNNNNNNNNNNNNNNNNNNNNNNNNNNNNNNNNNNNNNNNNNNNNNNNNNNNNNNNNNNNNNNNNNNNNNNNNNNNNNNNNNNNNNNNNNNNNNNNNNNNNNNNNNNNNNNNNNNNNNNNNNNNNNNNNNNNNNNNNNNNNNNNNNNNNNNNNNNNNNNNNNNNNNNNNNNNNNNNNNNNNNNNNNNNNNNNNNNNNNNNNNNNNNNNNNNNNNNNNNNNNNNNNNNNNNNNNNNNNNNNNNNNNNNNNNNNNNNNNNNNNNNNNNNNNNNNNNNNNNNNNNNNNNNNNNNNNNNNNNNNNNNNNNNNNNNNNNNNNNNNNNNNNNNNNNNNNNNNNNNNNNNNNNNNNNNNNNNNNNNNNNNNNNNNNNNNNNNNNNNNNNNNNNNNNNNNNNNNNNNNNNNNNNNNNNNNNNNNNNNNNNNNNNNNNNNNNNNNNNNNNNNNNNNNNNNNNNNNNNNNNNNNNNNNNNNNNNNNNNNNNNNNNNNNNNNNNNNNNNNNNNNNNNNNNNNNNNNNNNNNNNNNNNNNNNNNNNNNNNNNNNNNNNNNNNNNNNNNNNNNNNNNNNNNNNNNNNNNNNNNNNNNNNNNNNNNNNNNNNNNNNNNNNNNNNNNNNNNNNNNNNNNNNNNNNNNNNNNNNNNNNNNNNNNNNNNNNNNNNNNNNNNNNNNNNNNNNNNNNNNNNNNNNNNNNNNNNNNNNNNNNNNNNNNNNNNNNNNNNNNNNNNNNNNNNNNNNNNNNNNNNNNNNNNNNNNNNNNNNNNNNNNNNNNNNNNNNNNNNNNNNNNNNNNNNNNNNNNNNNNNNNNNNNNNNNNNNNNNNNNNNNNNNNNNNNNNNNNNNNNNNNNNNNNNNNNNNNNNNNNNNNNNNNNNNNNNNNNNNNNNNNNNNNNNNNNNNNNNNNNNNNNNNNNNNNNNNNNNNNNNNNNNNNNNNNNNNNNNNNNNNNNNNNNNNNNNNNNNNNNNNNNNNNNNNNNNNNNNNNNNNNNNNNNNNNNNNNNNNNNNNNNNNNNNNNNNNNNNNNNNNNNNNNNNNNNNNNNNNNNNNNNNNNNNNNNNNNNNNNNNNNNNNNNNNNNNNNNNNNNNNNNNNNNNNNNNNNNNNNNNNNNNNNNNNNNNNNNNNNNNNNNNNNNNNNNNNNNNNNNNNNNNNNNNNNNNNNNNNNNNNNNNNNNNNNNNNNNNNNNNNNNNNNNNNNNNNNNNNNNNNNNNNNNNNNNNNNNNNNNNNNNNNNNNNNNNNNNNNNNNNNNNNNNNNNNNNNNNNNNNNNNNNNNNNNNNNNNNNNNNNNNNNNNNNNNNNNNNNNNNNNNNNNNNNNNNNNNNNNNNNNNNNNNNNNNNNNNNNNNNNNNNNNNNNNNNNNNNNNNNNNNNNNNNNNNNNNNNNNNNNNNNNNNNNNNNNNNNNNNNNNNNNNNNNNNNNNNNNNNNNAUGCGCUAUAUUUCCUAUCCUUUUCAUGCUUGAUGAAGAGAUCUCCAGUUCCUUAUGGGGCCCUUUCUUACUCCAUUAAACGUUGCUUUGUAUUAUACUUUUGCCGAUGUUUUAAUUGCCUUUUCCAUUUUUUAAGAAAUUACUUUUAAAAGGAAAACUCAAAAAAAUUGGUUUUGUUCAUGAAAACUAAAACUUUCAAUGCAAUCAUCAUAUUUUUUUUAAGCAACUCUCAUAAAAGGUGUUUCAGAAGUUCUAAUGAUGAUACCCCUUUGGGCUUUGGUUCACUAUAGACCCCUAUGUGCACUUUUUGCCCCCUAGUGUGGUGUGCAAUACCUAUCAGGUUUAAAUUUGGUUUGGAUCCCUUCAAUUUAAGAAUUGAUGGAGUCAUCUUCUUAGUCAUGUGUAAAAACAAUUCUUUUAAGUAAAAGAUUUUGAAUGCUAUGAGAUCAUGCGCUUUAUGAAGAAAAGGUUCUUUAUAGAGAGAAUUCAUGGCCGAACUUUAUUUUAUGGAUCUGGAAGCAUAGUAUUUCUUUAUAGAGUCAGCAUUCACAUGUCUAACUAGAUCUUCUUAAUCCAUUCUAGAUAACAAUAAAGCUCCUCCCGAGAACGCUUUCUUUACCACGUAAGGGCCCUUAUUGUUUGGCACCCAUUUACUCUGAUCUUCUCCUGGUAAAGGCUAUAUUUUCUCCAGUACAAGAUCUCCUCAUGGAAUCCUCGAGGUCAGACCUUUUUAUCAUAUGAUUUGGUCAUCCGUGAUGAUGAUAGAUUGCAGCUAUCCUCUUUUUACUGAUCAGAUUCAACUAUUCAUAUCUAACUUUUACCCACUCUACCUCUUCUAGCUUAGAGUCUAUCAAUACUCUUAAUGAGGGGAUUUCAACUUUUAAAAGCAUCACUGCCUCCAUUCCAUAUACCAACAUGUAUGAGGUGGCUCCUAUUGAGGUUCAGACUGCGAUGCAGUACACGUGAAGGGCCAAUAACAACAUCUCAUGCCAAUCCUUGUAGGUGAAUAUCAUCUUCUGAAUAAUCUUCAUGACAUUCUUGUUAACAACUUCUGCCGCACCAUUCAUCUUUGGCCUAUAUGGCGAGGAAUUGGAAUGCUUGAUUUUUCAUCUAGCGUAGAGUUCUAUUAUCAUCUUACCAUUGAAGUUCUGGGCAUUAUUAGAUAUAAUCUUUUCUAGUGGACCAUAUCGAUAGAUCAAAUCUCUUUUCAUAAAUUGCUUCACCACCUUUUGCCUCCAUGUCAUCCAAAUAUCUCAACAAUGUUCCGUCAGAUGAUUUCUUAUACAAAGUUUCCCCAUCAAGAUAGAAAUCCAUUGCCAACCUCCUCAAAGUCUUCUUGUCGAUUGUGGAUGCCCCCAUGGGAUAUGUUUGGUUUUGGAUGAAAUUCUUGAUAUCAUAGUACCAAGGGUUUCCAUUUAUUCCUCUUUUAACUAAGCAACAAUGAGUUGAGUUAUUUCUGGUAUCAAUGUGUACCGGCCACACCUUGUGCCCAAAGUCUAUUCUAGUCAUAGAAGCUAGCGUGACCAAAGCAUCAGCAAAAUGGUUUCCUUCCCUUCCUAGAUGGGUGAACUUUAUUUCCUCAAAUUUUCUAACCAAUUCAGACAGGUAUUCUUGGUAAGGUCUCAACUUCUCGUCCUUGGUUUGCCCUUUUCCUUUCACUUGGCAAAUAAUCAAAAAUAGAGUCUUUAUACAUAUCUAUCUUUCUAAUAUUUAAUGCCACCUCUAAAACGAGAAUACAAGCUUCAUACUCCUAUGUUGUUAGUGCACCCAAACUACGACUUAAAUGAAACCGGAUAAUGUUUCUUAUCAGGAGAGAUUAGCACUGCCCCCACUUCGUUACCAUAGCACCAUCAAAGUACAUAAUCCACCAAUCUGAUUUCCCUUCCUCGACUGAAAACACAUCUUCAUCAGGAAAAUCAAAGUUUAACAGCUCAUAAUAUUCCAUAGCAUGGUUAGCUAGGUGAUCGGCGAUGACAUUCAUGGCUUUCCUUGUCAUAUAUACUAUGUCGUACUCAGCCAGUAGAACUUGCCAUUUGGCUUGAUAGAUAAGGGUGGAUUUAGUAGGUACUGCUUGAUUUUCGCGAAAGCUUCUUCACACUCUUAUUCCAAAUUCCAAGAUUCUUCUUCCUUAACAAUCGAAGAUUGGGUCACAAGUCAUGGUUAAUUGGGAUAUAAACCGGGUAAUGUAAUUCAAUCUUCCUAAGAACCUUAUUACAUCCUUCUCAGUCUUGGGAGGUGGCAUAGAUUGAAUAGCCUUUACUUUGUUGGGAUCCACUUUUAUCCCUUUGUCACUUACCACAAAUUCUAACAACUUCCCAGAUUUCACCCUAAAUGAACACCUCGUUGGGUUAAGCCUCAAAUUAUAUUUCCUUAAGUCUUUCAAACAAUUUCUUCAAUAUUUGGACAUGAUUCUUUCCCUCUCUAGAUUUAGCAAUCAUGUCAUCUCUUUAUGCAUCAUGUCGUGAAAUAGAGUCAACAUGACCCUUUGGUAGGUGGCCCCAACGUUCUUUAACUCAAAUGGCAUGACUUUGUAGCAAAAGGUUCCCCGUAGUGUUACAAAGGUUUCUUCUCCUUAUCCUCUUGUGCCAUUUUUAUCUUAUUAUAGCCAGAAAAUCCAUCUAUAAAGGAAUAUAUGGAGUUACAUGAUGCAUUGUUAACCAACAUAUCUAGGUGUGGUAGAGAAAAAUUGUCUUUAGGGCUAAUUCAGCUUAACUCCUUAAAGUCCACACAAACUCUGAUUUUAUCUUCCUUUUUAGGUACUAUCAUUAUGUUCGACGCACAUCGUGGAUACUUGACUGCUUCUAGAAAAUCAGUGUUCCACUGCUUUUCAAUUUCUGAUUUUACUAAGACAUCCAGAUGGAUUCUUCUCAACUUUUGCUUAACCGGUUUGCAUCCUUCUACUAGUGGUACCCUAUCCACCAAGUAUGUCUUUAUAGGACCAUGCAAAAAACAUCUACAUAAUCUCGGAGUUGUGCAAUCAACUCUUCUCUUUCUUUAGGGGUGAUCAGAGUCUGUAUCUUCAACUCUCUCUUGAUUUCUUCGUCGCCCACAUUUAUGGUUUCAAGCUCCUCUUUAGCAGGUUUCCAAACUUGUUCGUGUUGUUAAUUUUUAUGAAUCCCCUAAUGUUAUUUUCCUACCAUUCUUCCUCUUUUACUACUAAUAUGUAUUCUUUAAAGUCCGGCCAUUCAUUCUCAGUGUAAAGUGCAGGUGUAGUUAUGGAAGAUUCGCUUUGAAAAAGGAAAGUGAUGUGUAAAAACACCAAGAUGAACUUUUGAAAAUGCAUGAUCUCAUUAAAGGGAAAAGUUUGGCUAAAAAAAACAAGGAUAAAAUCCCAUUGACAUUUGGAACCUCGAUUUAAAAAGUUGAAAAAGGCAAACAACACAAUAUCAUGAUCAAACAAGCAUUGUUAAUUAAAUUUUAAACACCAAUGGAGCUUCUUGGGUCUCCCAAUUCUAGAACAUCUCUCUCUUGGCUAGCUUUUGAAUGAAGGUCUUGAGAUUCAAGAUGCUUUGAGCUUAGGCUUGUUUGGAUGCAAAAAGAUAUUAUGGAGCAUACAUCCUAAGGAUAGGUUCUAGUUCCUUUACGUGAGACAUAGGGUAGGUUUACUACUUGGUCUCUAAAAAAGGGUCUCUUGUUGUCCUAGUGAUCACCCUCGUAAAGGCAAUAUGGGGGUUCAGCAGAUAGUGGGAUGGCACGUGUACCAAUCACUAUUAGUCUAAACACUCAGCAAAGAGUUAGGGUUUACACAAACUUAAACCUUGACUCAAGUCAUAAGGCAAGCUGCUAGUCCCCCACUUAACUUAAAGUUUAAUGUGUGUGCUCUCCAAAAAGAAAAUAAUAGUAAAGUGAUGAAUGACUACAUCAUGUAUGACAGAAUGUAAAGAUGCAUGCUAAAGCUUUUAUACAAAUUAUCAUUCAUAGUAAAAAAACAACAACACAUAGCAUAAUAACAAAAACAAUUACCAAGCUUAGUCCAAGGGUCCCCAGUGGAGUCGCCAUCCUGUCGCACCCUCGCGAGCGGAGCGCGGCGUCGCGGCGAUCCUCGGUUGGUUUUGGGUCUUUUGUUUUGAUUGUGGAUAAAGGGAGUCGCCACCUAGUAUUAUGGUCACUAGGAAACCUAACUGGUCUUUCAGAGAUUCUAAGGCAAGGGACUGGUUGCGUAAAGGGAAGGUAUUAGCACCCCUAGUACGCCCUACCUAAGGUAAGCUGCUUGGUGUUAAUUUGGUUUGUCUUAUAAUUGCUAUGGUGUUGGUGUUUUCUAAUCCCAUCAAUUUUCCUAGGUUUGAUUCAAACUAAAUUUAUUAAGAUAGAAAUCCAAGGAGAUUCCAUGUGCUUUAAAAGCUCAUUUUUCCCUUAGUAUUUCAUACUCUUACGGCUCGUAAACCGCGGAGUAAUUGGAUAUUCAUCCCUUUGGGGUUUCUUUAUCCAAACAUUAACGGUGAAUAAUAACAAGUUAUCCCCAAUAAUAUUUUGGAUAUUCACCACUUUGGGUUUCUUUAUCCAAACAUUAACGGCUAAUAAUAACAAGUUAUCCCCAAUAAUAUUUUGGAUAUUCAUCCCUUUGGGGUUUCUUUAUCCAAACAUUAACGGUGAAUAAUAGAUUAAUUCCCCCCAAAAUAAGAUUUUUAUAUUUUUUGGAAUAUUGGCCAAUACCUUUUGGAGUUUUACAAACAUGUUGUAAAAUCCAGAAAUGCAAGAAAAUAAUUUUUUGUUGUGUUUAAGAAAUUCAUGCGAAAACACAUUUUUGAAACUUCCAAUAUUUUUUUUAUAUAAAAAGAACGUUCAAAACAUGUUAGAGUAUUGGCCGUAUGCAGCACACAAUAAAACAUUUUUUUAUAUUUUUUUAUCAAAACGCAAACAUCACGAAAAAUAUUCACCUAUUCUAAAAUUCGCAAGAAGCUUAAAACAAUUAAUCUCAAAUAAACAACGUUCAGCACACCAAUUUAAAACACAAGUCAGUGUGCACAAAACAUAUAAAAAAACAAAGUCCUGAAGCUAACAAAAAUUACAACAUGAACCGUGACCCCCUUGCAAACUCAAAAAAAAAAAAAAGAUGGCUCUUCGAACCCAACCCGGUUACUGGACCAAACCAGUAACCGGUUCGGCCACUGUUGCAUGCAUAUGCAUGCUACAGUGGCUAGAUAAUUAAAUUUGCAAAAGUGACAAGAGUGCAGGGCGCUUACCUGAUAGCUGACGGGCGAAGAUGAUGCUGCAGUUUCUUGCGCACAACCGGUCAUCACUGAUUCUGAAGACAAUGACGACCGCUGGUAACUGGUGUUGGUCUCUGUCUAUCUCUUCUUGCCGACGCUUUCUCUGGAGACGGCGAAGACGAUGAUGAAGGUGUGAUGUGCUGGCGAAAUGGAUGUUCUUCCCUCUGUGUUUUCUUGCUCCUUCUCUGUUUUCUUGUGAGCUGCUGCUUCGGCUAAUACCUAUGAAAGAAAACGUUGCACCGCUGGAGGAGAAGAAAACUGGAGACGGAAACGAAGGGAUGAAGGCGAUGGCGAGGGCGUGCUGGUUGGUCCCUCUGUGUUUUCUUUUGUUUAUGUUCUUUCCUUCUGCUCGUCCCUGUUGUGCUCUUCUUCGUCCGUUUGUUUCUAUGAUUUUCUUUCCCGUGCUUCCCCUGUUUCUCCCUCUGUAUUUUCUGUUCAUCCUUCCUCUCACUCGCGUCCGUCUUGUCUCUACUGAGAAGAAAUGCAUGGUUGCUGUUGCUAUGGCUGGCAUGCUCACGGUAAGAGAGUGAGGGCUGGUGCUUACGGGUGCUCUCGGUGAGAGGGAGAUUAGUUCGGGAGGAGAUGGUGGUCAUGGUUUGGGGAAGAUGGUGUGGGUGUACAUGGGAUGCUGGUUUGAGUAACAACCGGGGCUGCUGAGGGAGGCUGGGAUGAUUGGAGAUGACGGGUCCGGCUAAAAAUGGGGAGGUGAGUAGCGGCUUCUGUAAAGAUAAAUUUAGGUUUAGGGUUUUUGUAUUACCCUUAAUUUUUUUUUUUGUCUUCAAACUACUCCCUUGUGAAUUUUCUUCCCCCUUUGCAUAUGGCUGGAGGUUUACUUGUAUAGAAAAUCUCUACACGUGUUAUUUAAGGAAAUAUUGCAAUAAUUAUUGUAGAGAUUGUCUUCUAUAACCAGCACCAACAAAUCCUAUAGAUAUGGUAUUUUAUAUUGCAAUGAUUAUUUUCCAUAACCAGCACGAAUCAAAUCAUAUAUCUAUGGUAUUUUAUUUUGCAGUAAUUAUAAAUGAUUCAAUAAUUAUCUCCUUGACAUAUUGCUUCCUUGAUAUUAGCCAUGAUACUCUAUGUUAUCGCCACAUGUAAACCCUUAUUUUUUAUUUCUAUUUUUAUUUUUUUAUUUUUUUAUUUUUGAAAAAUUAUUAAAACAUAGGUCAAAAAUUGGGUAGCAACAAUAAUAACAAAAAAAAAACAUAAUGAAAAGAUGAAAAAUCCCCUGAACACAAGCUUUAAAAAAAUUUAUUGUAAGGGUAAUGAAGUAAUUUUACUAUCCAAAACAAAUUAAAAUGGCUAAAAAACCCUUGAUGUCAGUUUUUAAAAUUUUGUUUUUAAAGGUAAAUGAGUAGUUUCACUAUGCUUUUAAAAAGUGAAAAGACAAUUCUACCUCUGAUCAAUUGGGUAAUGUUUAAUGGACCUUAUAAAAAGACCAAAAUAUCCUUAAUAUUAAGGCUAUUGAAUUUUUUUAAGAAAUACAAAACAAUAAUAAUGCUAUAAUCGUAAAUAGGAAAACAUGUCUAUAUACAUAGCAUUUUAGUUUCUUGUUACGCACAUCAUAUGGGAAAAAAAUAGUAGUUAACACCUAUUUUUAUUUCCUUGUUAUAUUAUGCCCACACUGUCCACGCCAACAACUAAUAAAAAUGUUAAGUUAUUUGUUUUUGUAUUUUAAAUUGCAUUUAAGUAUAAUAAACUUUUGAGUGUGCUUUUUAGCCCAUACAUACGAGGUAGUGCGUCUACAAGCCCUAUUUAUUUCUUCUAAGUGCAUUUUCUAGACCUUACAACUAGAUAGUGUACCUGCAAGCCCUAUUUAUUUCCUUUCUAAGUACGUUUUCUUGCCCUCACAAACUAGAUAACACAUUUUUAAGCCUUGUCUUGAGUGCGUUUUGGAGCCCUCAUCUUCCACAUUGUGUGUAUUUAAGUCCCAUCUCUUUUGUCUUGAGUGCAUCUUUGAGCCCUCAUCUCUUAAAUAGUAUACAUUUGAGCCAUAUUUUUUUUUACUGAGUGCGCUUUAGAGCCCUCAUCUCCUAGAUAGUACACCUUUGAGUCCUAUCUCUUUUGUAUUGAGUGCGCCUUUAAGCCAUCAUCUCCUAAAUAGUGCGCCUUUGAGCCCUAUCUCUUUUCCUUUUAAGAGCAUAUCUGAUCCCUCAUCUCCUAGAUAGUGUGCUUUCUAGCUCUAUCUCUUUUCUUUCGAGUGCACUUUCUAGCCUUCACAUAUCGGAUAAUGCACUUUCAAGCCCUAUUCAUUUUUCUUUUCAGUACGCUUUCUAGCCUUCGCAUACCAAAUAGCACACCCGUAAGCCCUAUCUUUCCAUUUUUUAGUGCACUUUCCAGCCCUCGCAUACUAAAUAGUGCACUUUCUAGUCCUAUCCAUUUUUCUUUUGAGUGCAUUUUCUAGCUCUCACAUAUUAGAUAGUGCAUCGACAAGCCCUAUCUAUCUCUUUCCAAGUGCACUUUUUAUCCCUCACGUACUGGAUAAUGCACUUUCUAGCCAUAUUCAUUUUCUUCUAAGUGCACUUUCUAGCCCUCACAUAUAAGAUAAUGUGUCAGCAACCCCUAUCUAUUUGUUUUUUUAGUGCACUGUCUAGGCCUUACAUAUCAAAUAAUGUGUCAGUAAGCCCUAUCUAUUUACUUCCGAAUGCACUUUUCAGCCCUCUCAUACUAGACAACGCGUUUGCAAGGCAUAUCUAUUUCUUUUCGAGUGAGUUAACAAGCCUUUUACUUUUAAAACUCUUGUUAAAGAUCUGUCAAUUUCUGAGGUAUCUUUGAAUAUCUUAAUUUAUUUGAAGAAUUGACCUUUUCUUGAUCUGGUAAAUCCAUAACCUUUUAAAUUUUUUUCUUUACAAGCUUACUAUCUAAAAUCUAUUACGAGAUUUUUUGUCAUAAGCAUUGUAAAGAGGACAACUGUCAUAACCUAAUUUUGGACCCUUAUUUUUCUAAAUAUUUUUAAAAUACAAAAAAUAAAAAAAUAUGUUGAUAUAUUUGAGUCAUUUUCAGCGUCGUCUAAAAAGGAUUCAAAUUUUAAUUUUCUUUUCAUCUUGUUCAGCUUUUAACACGUUAUUUUUAAAAUUAUUGAUUUUUCUAGUUAAGUUGGUGUUGAUACUAUCUUUUUUUUUUGAAAAAUAAAAACAUAAAAAAAUAAGAAAAAUAAAAAAUAAAAGAAAUAUUUGGACAAAUGGACCAAAAUGAAAAGGAAGAAAAUAAAGGAUUAAAGAGAAUUUAGGUUACUUGUUGGACCAAGCAAUUGGGGAAGAAAACAAAAUUUUUCAUCUAUAAAUAGGUGGUUUUCUUACACAAUGAGGGAUGAGAGGCCAAAAAAAAAAAUAACAAAAUAAAAUAAAAACCAAAAAAAAAUUCACUCUUUUAUUAAAAAAAAACCUAAACUGUUUUUUUAAACCUAGCCGCCAGGAGCUAAAAACAUGCAUCUACCUCCCUUUCCCUCUCAACCAUCACUAUCACACCUGCACUAGCUCCUCCACAACUCCAGCAACCUCUGCUCUAUGCCAUUAUCUCCUCAUUAUGGCAGCUACACCACAACAUCACUGACCUGUCUUCCAUCAUCAUUUUUCCAGCCCAACAUUUCUUCUUUAAACCAAUAACAGCUUCAGCCUCAACUCCUCCAUAUCAUGACCAAACCGGCAGCUACUGAUUCCACUGAGAACAACACUUUUUUCAAUUGCACCAGCCACAACAAAAUCUUUCAUCGUGUUCAACACUUCUCCUUCUACGGUAGCUAUUUAGCCAAGCACCAAAAACACCACCAACUUCUAUCACUUCCCUACUACCCAUCAAAGCCUCUACAUUGUGCACCAACCAUUAACAGCUCAUUUGGUUCCAAGUUACAAAGUAUGGCAAUAUUCUUGAAUAAUGAUUAAAUGAUUCAUUUAUUCGAGGUUUGCUUUAAAAAUAAUAAAAACGUUAUUACACAAUAAAAUUGUGGAAAACAAAAGAAAGAUGUGAUAAUUUAUUUAAUUUUAAAGAUAAUUUUUUUCCUGAAAAAAAAAUGUUGUUACUUUGGAUUGUUGUUACUUUGUUUGCGUAAUAGGAUAUAACAAAAGGAGAAUUGAAAUAAUUUAGGGAGCCAAAUUGGAGUCAAGAUGAAAAAGUAGAGGAAAUUAAACAAAACUGGAAAAUUAUAGAAACUAAAAAAAUAGUCUAAAAUGAUUAGGGACUAAAAAAUAGUGGAAGACUAUGCAAAAACAAAUAUAUGAAAAAUAGAUAAGAAAUUAAACAUAAUUGGAAAAUUAUAGGAAAGAUAUCAUGCACAUUAAAAAUAAAAAAUUUAAUUAAUUAGAAAUCAACAAAUCAAUAAGAAAUAAUAAAAAAUUUCCUAGUAAUAUUUUUGUUUUUAAGGGAUCUAAACAAUAUAAAUAGAGGGAAGAUAGGGAUCAAGGGGCGUUUGGCUAAAAGCUAAUUUUAAAAAAAACAAUUUACUUAAAAUUAAUAUUUUAAGUGUUUUGGGAUUUUGAUGUGCUGAUGUCAAAAAUAAAAUUUAAAAAAUAAUAAUAAAUAUUAUUUUAAUACAUAUCUGGACAAAAAAAAACUUUGAAAUGUAACUUCUACCCCUAUUAUAGAAUGUAUAUAUAAAAAACAUUAGAAUGUAUAUAUAUAAAAUAUUAUAGGCACUACUUUAGUGUUAUAAUCUCUAUCUUUACUAUUAUAUAUUGCCCUACACAUAUAAAUAGAAAAUAAUUGGUUAACUAAAGGUCAAGCCUCCAACUUUUUCUUAUAAAGAAAAAAAUAUAAUUUGUACUAAUUUCAACAACUUUAAUUAAUAUUUAAUAUUAAUAAAAUAUUAACUAAAAAUAUUAUAAUUAUAAUAAUUUUAUAUAGUUUUUUAUUAAGUAUUUUUAUCAUGGAUGAAUUAUGGAUGACUGGAGGUUUUGAGAAGAAUUAUGGAUGACUGAAGAGAAGUACCAAUCAGUCAAAACGAGAAGAAGAACAUCAUGAUAAGGAGCAAGCUCACCUACUAUCCUGUUGUUUUUUUCCUGGCACAGAAAUGGAUUUUCCAGUAAAUGUUUUCAUUUUGUUAUUGAAACAGUCAAAUUUAAUUUUUAUUGAAACAAAAUGAUUUUCCAGUAAAUGUUUUCAUUUUGUUAUUAAUUUUAAAAAAUAUAAUAUUUUUUCUAUGUCAUUUAUUUAAUAAAAACCAAUAACAUUAUUAUAAAAAUAGAUGUACCCAAAAAAAUCAAAAUGAUUAAAUAAAGAUAAAAAAUAUACAUUACUAAUUAAAAUCUUUUUAUCUAGUUAAUAUACUCAAUUUUUAAAAAAAAAAUCUUCACUCAAAGUUUUAUUUUUUAAACAACAUUCUAUCAUCAUUUCAAAAGAAAAUUUCAAUUCUCAAAAUAUAACACCCUAAUGAUUUUAAUGCAAAUGCAAUAAAAAAAUACAAUAAUAUUACAAUAUUGUUUAUGCAUUCUCGUGAGAACUCUUUAGAACUAUCAUUAAAUCCCAGCCAAUAAUAUUUGCAUUUUUUUUCAACGAAUUAUGAAGUCGAAAGAUAGUAAAGUGCACUUCCUCCCCUCUUCCCAUGAAAUUUAAGUUUUCUAAAAUAUCUUCUACCAGAAAAAAGUUGAAAAUUGGUCAUUUGGCCACCAUGGCUUUUUCUCCUGUCUCCUGCCAUCAUCUUUUUUUCCCCAUAUUAGUUCUCAUUUGAUACGUGUGAGAGAGUGCUUUCAUCUCUCAAAUUAGUCACCAUCAAUACAUCCUCUUGCUUUUGCCCUUCUUUUUUCUAAUGUGUUUUACUAUCUGAGUUUCUUCAUCAUGAGUAGCGCAGAGAGAUGGGUGUUGUGGACAGACAUGAUACAGCCGUGAAUGGGGUUGGAGGAUCAGGGUUGAGGAGAUUAAGGUGAAAAAAGAAACAGAAAAAGAAACCCAUAUAGUUUUGGUUAAUGUGGGUUGUUGCGAUGUCGCGGUCACACAAAUUAAUUAUCCUAACUUCAAACACAACACACAAGAUAGUAUAGAGCAAGCAAGGGGUCGAUCCCACGAAGAAGAUUCAAGUCAGAUUUUUAUGCUAGAUAAUAUGCAAUUUGGGGGGGAUUUGGACGUUAUCUAGGCUAAAGCAAAAGAAAACAAAAAACUAUCAAACAAAAUUUAAUAAAAUCAGAAAAUUAUCAAGAGAACAAACCUUGGUUGCAAGCAUACAUCCACCUACAGAAAUCAGAACUGAUCAUGGAAACGAAACAUCAAUUUAUAUUCUGAAUAUUUAUCUCUUCUUAACAUUGGUUAAUUAACGAAUCUGCCGUAUAACUAACCAUAACCAUCAAACAACCACAGUGUCCGUAUUUGUAAUUUAAUUCAAUGGAAGCCUUAAGAACUAGAUAAGUUGAUUAAUCAAUAAAACAUAAUUGUCCGCAGUCUAUGUUUGAUUUGAUUGAAUGUUCUUCCUAAAAUUAAUAACGUAGAUCCGCCACAAUUAUUAAACUCAGUUGCUUCACAAGUUCAUAUACCACAACUCCGGUUUUGAUAUCAAACUUAGCAAUAGAUUGUCUACAAUAAUAACUUAGAGUCCGCUCUAGCAAUUAAAAUAAGCAAUCAUAGAAAAAAUAAGCAUAGGAGAACAAACAUAUUCAUCAUAUAAACUGAAAAGAAAAGGUAAAAUAAAUCUCACAAUUCUUGAAAUCCGAAGGAUUCCGUGUCCUUGCAACCAAGAAAAAGAAUUUAGCCUUACAUGUUUGUUGAACAACUAAUCAAAAAGAAGGAUGAAUGCAUAAUUUCGAGUUUCUUAGAGGACGGGGGCGUUUUUCUCCUCUUGGCUGGCUGCCCCCCUUCUCUUCUCUCAUUCUUUUUAUAUCCUAGGAAACCCUAAUCUCUAUUUUACAAAACAGUCCUCCCUUAAGUAGACAGUUUACAUUUAAGUACUUCAAUAACUAUUUUCCUAAAAAAGGAGAAAUAGUCUUGCAUGAAAUCUUCAAGCUCUGACUUAGAGUAGCUAAAUUGCUGAAAUAAAAACUUGGGUAUCGGUUUAGAUGCUUCGGAACGUAAUUUGGACUCGUUUUUUCACGAAACCUGUUUGCUGGCAGAAUUCAGUUGUCAUCUUUGAAAACUCAUAUCUCCCUCAUAUGACAUCGUUUUUGGCUGAAAUUUGGAGCGUUUAUAUGAAUUUGAGUCAGGAAUCCAAAACAAUUGAGUUUGCAUCAAUUGGACUUCUGUAGCUCCAGAUAUUCAAGUCAGAAUGGCCAAAGGUCAACAUUGACAAAUUGCGAGAUUUGACUUUGAAGGCUGCGAUUUCCAUGCUCUUUCUUAUUUUAUUUUCUUGCCUUAUACAUACAAAAAGCUAUGGAUGUUAGAUUUUUAAUGCCACUGGAAUCACUUCAUUUCAACCUCUAGAGCUCACUCUCUGCACAAAACAUCGACUGAAGGUCAAAUCUGCGAAUUACCUCCAAUUUACUCCUUUUUGCAUUUUUCAUCCAAAAGUGCCUUCAAAACAUAAAACAAAGAAUAUCAAGGCAUUUUAUAUAUAAAACAUAGGCUGAACACUUGUUAAAUAUGGGUGAAACUAUCAAAUAAUAUGGUUGCAUCAUGGGUGGCGCCAUGGUUUUGAUGGUAUAUAGCUAAAGCAGAUGGGAGAUUCAUUGUGCAUUCUUCCCCGUUUGAACUGUGGAUCCAAUUGCUUAAGAUGAAUAGUUGAAUUCACGGUCGCGUCUUCCCUCUUCAUGGCUUGGAAUUUGUUCUCUUUCACUAAUAAUUGAGAGUUUUCCAUGUUUACUAUUCAAUGGAUAAUUGUUGUGUUGGUUUUCUAUGUUCUCUCUUGGCUUUGGCUCAUUUCUACCAAUCAAUUUGUUUUAUGCUUGGAUUUAAAUAUUGUAAGCUUUAUCUCCCUUUUCUUACUUGUUAUUUCUUUACUGUACUCUGCUUUUUUGUUUAUGGUUUGCUUUUGCUCUUGUUGUGGAUUCCCAUUUCAUGGGAGAAGAUUCUUUUUCUUCUUUUGAAUCAUUAUUUAAUAACCUUUUUCUCUUUAAUUUAUUGUAUGCUCAAUGAUUGAUUCUCGUCUCAUCUAAGUUAAAGCAACUUUGUGAAAUGAAAGAACCAUCUGGGAAACUAAUAAUAAAUGAUCUAACUAUGGUAUUAGGUUCCACAUCUCAAGUUAUUAUAUUAUUAAACUACUUAAUUAUUCUCUUAUUCAUACUUAACAAAUGAAUUAGUCUUUUGUUAGUGUAAUUUUUGGAGGAGUUGGAAUUUGGAAUCUUCAAAGAUUAUUUGCAUUAAAAAGUGACGAGUAAUCUAACACAUUAAGUUUAAACGAUAUAAUUCUUCGACAGAAAUAUUUUUUUUCUUCUAUUCAUCCAAAAUUCAAAAAGUAAUUUAUUUGUAUUUUAUAAAGUUUUGUAUUUAAUUUUAAAACUCUAUUUAAAGACAUUAAAAAAUAUUUCUAGAUCAAGAAAUGUAGCGAUACAAUAGUCUCAAUGUCUAGGAUAAUCAAAACACAUAAACAUCUUUGACUGAAAAUAAUUAAUAUAGACAUAGCAAAAUACAAAUUACUUUUUAACUCUCCCUCUUAACCUGUAAUUUUUAAGAACUUCUUGAAUUACUGAAAUUUUUUUGAAGAUAUAGUUUUGAUGAGAACAUCUUUUGGUUGAUCACUUGUAUUGAUGAAGUCCACAUAAAGCUCUUUCUUGUUAACCAUUUCAUGAAUAAAAUGAUGAUGCAAUUCAAUAUUCUUUGAUCUUGCAUGAAAAAUCAAGUUCGUAAUUAUGGCAAUGGCUAACAUAUUAUCAUAUAAAAUGGCACUAAAUUCUAAAGUUCUCUGGUGUAAAUCAGUAAGAGUCCUUAACUAAAUUGCUUUAUAAACAGCUUCAUUAGCUGUAAUAUAUUCAGCUUUAGCUGGGGACGAUGCAACUUAAUUUUGCUUUUUUGAACUUUAUGGAAUCACAUUUAAGCCUAAAAAAAAACAUAUCCUAAUGUGUUUUUUUUUUUUUUUACCAUCAAGAGUACCAACCCAAUCACUAUUUGCAAAACUAGUCAAUUUUUAUCUUCUUAUUUCAUAUAUUUGCUCCCAAGAUUCUUCGUAACUUGAAGAUAAUGCAAAAUCCUUUUUGCAGCUACAAAAUAAAGCUUAGUUGGUUCUUUUAUAAGUUUGGAAAUUAAACUCAUGGAAUAAAUUAUAUAUAGCCUUUUGUUUGUGAGAUAAGUAAAAGAACUAACAAGACUCUUAAAACUUUUUAAAUCCACCUUCUCUGCAUCAUUAUCUUGCUAGAAUUUUUCAUUGAUUACAAUAGGAACUGCUACUCGUUUGCAACUUGCCAUAUCAUACAUUCUUGAAUUCCUUAACCAUGUUUGCAUUAGAAUUUGCAUAAAUCAUAAUAUCAACAUAAAGGCAAACCAUAAAAAAAUUUGGUACUAUUUUCUUCACAUGAAGUGAUGGCUUACAUUGACAUCUAUCAAAAACAUUUGAUGAAAAUAUUAAUUAAUCUUUAUGUUUAAUGCUAUUGGUACUUAUUUUAAAUCAUAAAAAGUGUCACAAAGUCAACAAACAUUGUCUUUUUUAUCUCAUCACAUUACUUCACAUUAUUUGGAGCUUGAUCUAUAUAAACCUCUUCCUCCAAUUCUUCUUUGAGGAAAGUUGAUUUCAUACUAGGUUAGAAGGCCUAUAAUUACAACUAAGCUGCCAAAGCAAGAAUAAUUAUAAUAGUUUCCAUUCGACCAACAGGUGCAAAAGUUUAUAUAAAGUAUACUAUAGUUUGUUAUGAGUAGCAUUUUGCAAUAAGUUUUGCCUUAUCUAUCUUCUCUAUUUCUAUUUAUUUGCCUCAAAAAGCGCACUACCUAAUCAAACAAUCCAUGUCGUCCUUUUAUUUUGUUUAGGUUUCUGAUUUGAUUCUCUUGUUUUUUAUUUUUUUAUUGUCUUAUUUUAAUCAUAAUUUUUUAAAAAAAAACUUUAAAUUUAUUUUCUAGUUCAUCCUUCAUUGAAAUAUUAUUUUUCUUCUAAUUUUAUUUUUUUUGUUUUAGUUUUUAUCCUUUUCUAUUUUGAGUUUUGAUUUAUUUUGUAAAAAGUUUAAUUUCUUUUAAUUUCACCUUUAAAUUAUUCAAAAUCAUUUUCCCCUUAUAUUUUUGUUAAUAUUUGGUAAUCAUUCUUUUAUAAUAUGUUUUUUUAGUCUUUUAUCAAAUUGAUUUUUUUUCAAUUUUUUUCUUCUAACCUUAGGUUGGUUAUAUAGGAAUUGAAGGUUGUGUUUUUUUCCAGUUGGGUUACACCAGACUUAUUAUUGAGUUCAUAGAUUUAAAAGGUUAAAUUGGAUGAUAAUGGUUUUUUUUCUUUUUUUACACUGAUUUUAUUUUUUAAUUUUAUACCUCAACACUUUACAUUAUAUCUUUCUUUUUCUAGUUUAUUUAAAAAUUAUCAUGGCCUCAUGAACAUGUUUCAUGUUCGGCAAUUAGAUUGAAAUGUAUCUUCAAUGUUUUUUUUUUUUUUUUUUUAUAAUGAGCACUUUUCUUUCUUUCUUCAUUAGAUGCAUAUGAUAUCAUUAGAUAAGACAAGCUUAUUUGACUCAGGUAGGCGUAUAACUUGAAUCACAACUCUUCUAACUUGUUUUAAACACAUUUACGGUCUCUUGACAAUUUUUUUUAUCACUAAGACUUGUUAUGGGUCCUCAGCAUAGCAAGCCACUUGACUAGUUUGUACUAGAACUAGAAUUAUGAGAGGGGAAUGGUUGGUUAAGAUGAAAGUUUUAAAACCUAACUACUAUAUUUAGAACAAUUUUUCUAUAUUAGGCUUCCAUACUUCUAUUUUAGUUAUCCAAACUAAACCGUCGAUAAGGAGUAUAUGUACAAGGAUAAAGUCUAACGUAGGCAAAAGUGAAGGAUAAGGAGUUUAAUAUAAAUCCAAACCCUCAAAAACCAAGAACACCAUAAAUAUAAAAAGACUCUCAAAAUACUUAAUUUUAUUCAUUCAUGUAUUCAUUUGCUAAAAGGCUAAUACAACCUUUUAUAUAAAAAAAAUUAGAAAACCUCAAUAAUAUUGAAUAGGAAAAUUAAACUAGAAAAAAAUAUUUUAUUCAAAUAGGGAAAAAAAACUAGAAAAACUUUAUAAUGAAAAAUACAAAAAUAAAAAAAUACAAUAAAAUUAAUUGAGAAAAAUAUUUUUUUAAAAAAAGCUCAUGCAUUAGAGUUUUUGCAAUGAUUAGCAUUUUAUCCUAUUUCUAACAUGAAAAUAAUUAUUAUUUAUGUGUUAAGCAUAAUAAAAUUAAAGUUAAGAUCAUGAAAUAUUUAUAACUAUAUGUUAAAUAUUUUAUGUAUGGGUAUUAUAUUUACAAUUUCAAAUUCAUAUUAUGAAUGAUUUGUUAAUCGCCAGAGUGUUCAAAUUCUUAAGACAAAUAAGUUUUGAAUUGUUUAAUGUUUUCCAUUUUUCAAUUACCCAUUAUUUUCAAUGCUUAUAUAAAUAUCAUGAUGAUUAUUUAUUUAUGGGUAAAUUGAAGUUCAUAGCUAUAAGUUUUGAAGUUUAUAUUAUGAAUGUUUUGUGAUUAAUGAGCAUAAUUGUUGGUAAUUAAAUUGUGCUUUUAGUUAUUUUCAUAUCCAAAGAUGGUAAAUGCAUCUAAUUAGUGCAUAUGUAAUUUCCAAAUUAAAUCAAAUUUUCCUAUUAUUAUUGUUAUUGUUAUAUUGUUGCAUUGCCCAAAGGAGAUCAUCGAUGUACAUUCAAUGUUUAUUUUAAUUAUUUUUAUGAAUUUGUAUUGUGUAUUUAAGUUUUGACUCAAAAUAGAAAGUGUCAAUUGAAUAUAUUAGCACAAUUCUUAUAAUUGUCGAUUCAUUAAUAAAAGAAUAGUCACUCAUAACAUUUGUUGAUUAUGUUUAAAGAAUGGGUAUCAUGGGACAUCAUUAUUGAUAUUAUAUCAUGACUUUAUGAUUAUCAUGUAUUUGACAAUUUAAGUUCAUUUAUGAAUAUUUUUAUGAUAUUUCUUGUUUUAUAUUUGAUAUACAUGAUUAAAUUAGAAUGAUGAUAACAUGAACUGUCUUUGACAAAGACAUUAUUGAUGGACUAAUUUUGUGCUGCUCAUUUACAACUCAUGUUAAGUAAAAACUAAAAUUAUUGUACAUAUAAGGGACUACUUCAAAUCGAUGAUAUACAAUCGCCAUGAAUCAUAUUAGUUCUCUUGCUUAGUUAUCAUAUAUGGUGUGAUCGAUGUGGUUUUAACGUUACUUUAUAUGUAGUAUGUUAAUAUAUUUAAUAAAUCAUGAAGAAAGAUAAUGUCAUGUGAGUCAAAUGAGAGAAUGUAAGAUAUGACCCAUGCAAUGAGCUGAUGGGUUCUUAAAUGGUUUAAUAAUUAUUAAUGUUAAAAUUGUAUUGGUCAAUUUUAAAAGUUGUUUUGUAUAUAAUAAUUGCUUACUUGGUAGAUGUGUGAUCUAAGAAGUCUAUUAAAAAAAACUCAAACUAGUCCUCUCUCUAUCAUAUACUAUAGUUUUAUUUCAUCAAAACCUUACGUAGAAGAGUUUGCUAUGAAUCAAGGUACAAAUUCUUUAAAUAUUUAUUUGAAUGUAAAAAUCAUGAAGUUUUAAGAUCAUGGACAUUAUGGUUUUUAUUUGAUUGUUGAUUCAUUAAUAAAAGAAUAGUCACUUAUAACAUUUGUCGAUUAUGUUGAAAGAAUGGGUAUCUCACAUGCUAAUGUGUUAUAAAUCUCUCAGAUCACUAGGUAAACAUUCAAGCAUUGGAAGUUCAUUUAAAAACUUCCCACCAAAUUUUAACAUUCACACACUGCCUAUAUUUUUCAUUCUCCUCCUCUUUUUUGUACAUUACUUCUUCUAUAUUUAUUGACUUAAACAUCAUAUGGUCUCUUAUUUUGAUAAGGGAUUGAUUUUGCAAUGAAAACCAAGCUUAAGGACAAAACCUACAUUUAAACCAACACACUUUAGUCCAAAAUACAUUAAUGGAAAGCCCAAUCUAGUAUGAAGUUUUCACGACUUAAUCUCUAGUUUUCAUUUAUUAUUUAUGACAGUAAUGAGUUAUGUUAGAAGUAUGUUUAGUAAGAAAAAACUUAAAGUUCUUAUUUUUAAAGUAAGUAAGAAACCUAAGUUAUAAUUCAUAUAUCAAAGUUAUUUUUUAUUUAUGAUUAAAUCAAAAUUUUGACUUAAUUUAUUAUGUCAAAUUUUAUUUUCUAAUUAAAUAUAUUGAUGAUUUUUAAAAUAAAAAGUUAAAAAUUAACUUUCAAAAUCUAAAAAUCAUAUCGAACAUAACUUAAUGACGGGCUUAUUGUUAAGCAUUGAGAAGAAUUAACCUCUGUUUAAUACCAUAGUUCAACUUAUUUUCCAAAAUGUUUUUCAAAUUUUUUUCAUCUAAAAAACAACAUUAAAUUGAUGCUUUUUAGGUCUUUGAUAUAUUUUUUAUAUGUCGGUGUUAAAAAUAAAUAAAAAAGAGAUAAUUACAAAACCUAUACUUUAAGGGAUACAAUUUUCUUUCUAAGGUUUGAGGAAUACAAUUUUUCUCUUAAAUAUUAGUAACUUCAUUACACUUUACAUUUCAUAUUUUGACUCUAAAAUAAAAGUCAAUUAUUAUUUAUACGUUUGCCAUUAUAGUAAUAUUAAUGACUAAAGUGCCUUUAGUGACAAAAAAAAAAAUAAGAAUUAAAGAUUGUGUUGCCUUUGGCCUUUUAUUGAAAAACUUGUUGUUGCACAUUACGUUACUAUUUAUAAAAAUGCCCCUAAAAUCAUGCAUAAUAUAAUAGAUCCAACAACAAUUCUUGAUCAAGUAAAAAACAGCUAAAAACAUAAAAGUUCAUAUAAAAUAUUUAUUCAUCAGUUUCAACCAAAUACAAUAAAUCUCCAGUGUUGUUCACUGUUUCAACCCAACAAAAAACACCACUGAAACUAAUAUUACUUACACCAAUAUGUAAAAAAAAUUCCAAAACUUUGCAACAAUAAUUCUUCACUACAAAUCAUGCAAACACACAUUAUCUAAAAUUACCAACUAACACAUAAAUCCAACACACACACUAAACCAAGACACACAAUGCCAAAAACAACCAUAAAACUACCAACACACAAUGUAAAACACAACCCAAAAUUAACGGCUUAUACAAUUAAAAGUCAUCAAAUGCUAAUAGCAUACAAACUUGCAACAACUUGGAUAGACUAAAGCACAUAAUUUUUAAGGUUAUUAUUUACAGUAACCCUAAUUGAUCAAAUUAUAUAUUUUCUUCAUAAGACAUGCAUUGCAAGUAUAAAAUUUAAUUAAAACAUUACUACAACACUUAGUAUUAUAACCAUUACCCAUUGGUUUAACAUACAAUGAACACACACACACAUAAGUCAUUCAAUCGGGAUUCACUUAAAAAACUUACCUCUCCAUUGUUUUCAAGAAAAAAGGUUGAAUAAAAUAACAUUAACAAGAGGUUUUUGGCUCUUGAUACUCAUGUGAAGAGAUUAAGUAUAAAAAAUAAAGACCUUGCUUCAGAUUUAAUGUUUCUGUAUGAGUGUGUUGGGUUAUUAGAGAGAGAGAAAUAAUGUUUGGGAGAGAGAAACGAGGUUUGUGAGGAAAGUGUGCAAAUUUAUAUUUAUUAUAUACGAGGAAAAAAAAUAUCUUUUUGACUAAUUUGACUUGUUGCAUUAACCACGGAGAAAAACCAAAAAUUUUCAAAUCUUAGAAUGAAAAUGAAAAACAGACCAAAGUAUAGAGGUUAUUUGUAAUUAUCCUAAUAAAAUAUCCAAAAAAAUAUCAUUUUAAUAUAUUUUUAAUUAAAAAGUACUUUUAUAAAAGUAUCAUAUACCGCAUUACCAAACACACACUCAAUGUCUUAUUGUGAUUUAUAAGUUACAAUGUGUAUAAUUAAUUAUGGGUAAAGCUAAGGAUUUCUCUUCCAUGAGUGAAUGAAUGAGAUGUUUUUAUCUCCAUCUUUCCUUCUCUUUUUUUGUUGUUAUUUGAAAUAUUCAAUAAUAAGAUUAACAUUAAUGAAUUAUAAAUGCUCGUGUAAACUCUCUGUGCUUGGGCUUUGGCCCAUUUAAGAAAACAAAAUUCGAGCAAACUAAAUAAAUGUUGAUCCCAGACAUUAUGCUUUUAACAACAAAACAGAAGACAUUGUCAUCUUUGAAAGAAAGAAGGAAAAAAAUGCUAUAGUUUAAGCAGCAAGUGAAUAGAUGAUCGGAGAGUGUAGCAGUGAUAUUCAAACUCUGGUAAAAUAAAAUUCAAUUACAACUGAAAAUGAAAAUUAUUUUCCACAAAUACCCUUUUUUAUUUCUUUCUAAAAACCCUAACUUACUUCGAUAGAAAAUUGGGUCAAAAAGUGGUGGUUGUGUAUCGACUGAUGUUACUGAGUUCAAACUUCAACAUGACUGUUAAGACUGAGUUUUGGUUUGAUUAUUGUAAGGUAUUCUUAACUUGUUUAUGGUUUUACAAAGAUAUUUGUACCUGGAAUCUGAGAUGGCAAAAAAGCCAACAUGUAAGCGGCUAUAUUCCCAUUUAAAUAAAAGAUUGGGCCAAUUUUUUAUAUGACUAAAUAAAAGAUUAGUCAUAGUAAUAGGAUUUCAUGUGAUGUCUCACGAGUAGAUAUGGGUCCGCAUUACACCGUAAAACCAAUUUUUUUCAUAAAAAAUAUGUUCAAGUGCCAAAAACACACUUUAAAGAAAGAAGAAGAUUUGCGCAUGGAGUUAUAGACCUAAAUGGAUUAAAUAAGUUGUUUUUAUUUUAAUUAAAUGAUAAAAAAAUAGGGUAUAGUAUUAAAUGAAUUGAUUUUUUCUUAAAAAAAUAACAUGAUAAUUUGGGAAGAAAAACUUUUUUCCAAAAAAGAAAAAACGAUACAAAUUAAUUAUUAGUCAAUUAAAUGUGGAAGGACAAAAUUGAGAAAAAUAACAACAAAAAAAAAAAAACUAACAUGAGUCAAAUAGAGUUAGCAUGACAAACCUAUAACCUAGAUAAUAAAGGACAAACCAACUCGGGUUAACCUUAAGCUAGCGGUCCAGGUCAUGAAAUUGAGAUAAUCCGAUGGAAAAGAAAAUGAAAGAAAUCAAAAAGCCUAUUUUUUUUUAAGUUAGAAAAGAAAAUAAGUUUUUUUAAAAAAAAAUAUAUACGUCAACCCGCUUCACUUUUUUAACAUACUUGUUAGAAAAUGAACUUCAAACCUAUUCCUAGACAAUGUCUUGUCUAGAAGCUUCUUAUUGGAAAGAGGCACUCAAUAAUAAAAUUGAGUCCAUUAUAAAUAAUCAUACAUGGGAACUAGUGGAUCUUCCUCUUGGAAAUAAGUCAUUAAGCUAUAAGUGGAUCUUGAAAAGAAAUAUGAAAGCUGAUGGUAGUAUUGAUAGAUAUAUAGCUACACUUGUUAAAGGUUUUAAAAAACAAGAAGGUAUGGAUGAUUUUGACAUAUAUUCACUUGUGUCAAAAAUAAAUUCCAUACAAAUGUUAAUAUCUAUUACAACUAUUAAUAAACUAGAAAUAUAUCAAAUGGAUGUAAAAACAACUUUCUUAAAAUAAUAACCUUUAUGAAGAAAUUUACAUGGAACAAUCUGAGGGGUUUGUUGUCAAUGGACAAGAAAAGAAAGUCUGUAAAUUUAUCAAAUCAUUAUAUGGUUUGAAAUAAACACCUAAACAAUAACAUGAAAAAUUUAACAAGGUUAUGUUCUCAAAUUUAAAAUCAACAAAGUUGAUAUAUGUGUUUAUGUGAAAAACACAGAUAAAGGUUAUGUCAUUGUAUAUUUCUAUGUGAAAGAUAUGCUUAUUUUAGGCAGUAAUGAUCACAUCAUCAAGUCUACUAAGAAAAUGUUAACUAAAUAAGUUUGACAUGAAAGACUUGGGUGUUGCAGAUGUCAUACUAGAAAUAAAUAUUUUUAGGACAUCUAAUGAAUAGGUAUUUUUUUCAAUCUGAUUAUAUUGAGAAAAUUCUCAACAAACUUUUUAAAGGUGACAAUGGCACAUGACAUGGCACCAAGCAUAUGAUGCGGUUGAUGGAGUGAUGGUGCAUCCUUCUGACGGCGAAGCGUGGAAACUCUUUAACAGUGUGCAUACUCACUUUUCAGCUGAAUCAAGGAAUGUGCGUCUUGGGUUAUGUAAAGAUAGAUUCAACCCAUUUGCAUCAUUUGUUGCUCCUUAUUCUUGUUGGCCGGUCAUACUCACAGUUUAUAACUUGCCACCAGGAAUGUGUAUGAGGCCGGAGUUCAUGUUUUUAUCUACUGUCAUACCCGGUCCAAGCAGCUCGGGGCGGAAUAUAGAUGUUUGUCUUCGACCGUUGAUUGAUGAGUUGGUGCAGUUGUGGUCCUCCAGAGCUCUGACUUAUGAUAUAUCGAGGAAACAAAAUUUCCUUAUGAGGGCAGCUUUGAUGUGGACUAUCAAUGAUUUUCCAGCUUAUGGAAUGCUUUCUGGUUGGAGCACGCAUGGGAAACUCGCAUGUCCAUACUGCAUGGAAAACAACAAGGCAUUCACGCUAGCAAACUGAAUAUUAAUUAAUCAAAACCAUUUGUCAAAACCAUUUGAUGAAAAUAUUAAUUAAUCUUGAUGUUUCAUGCUCAUAGUGCUUAUUUUAAACCGUAAAGAGCCUUACGAGGUCAACAAACCUUGUCUUUUUUUUUCUUUCAUCACAUUACUUGGAGCUUGAUCUACAUAAACCUCUUUCUCCUAUUCUUCAUUAAGAAAAUUUGAUUUCAUAUUAGGUUGAAAAGCCUAUAAUUGCAACUAAACUGCCAAAGCAAGAAUAUUUCUAAUAGUUUAUAUCCAAGCAACAGGUGCAAAAAUUUCUAUAAGUCUCGCCUUGUACUUUUGUAUGCUGCCAUUUUCAUUAGCCUUUGUCUUCUCUCUUUCUCUUUCUUUUCCUUGAAAAGCGCAUUGCCUAAUCAAAAAAUUCAUGUUGUCCUCUUAUUUUGUUUAGGUUUAUGAUUUGGUUUUUUUGUUUUUUAUUGUCUUAUUUUCGUCGUGAUUCCUUUUUAUAAACUUUAAAUUUAUUUUCUAUUUCAUCCUUCAUUGAAAUAUUAUUUUUCUUCUUAUUUUUAUUUUUAUUUUUGUUUUAGAUUUGAUCCUUUUUUUUAUUUUGAGUUUUUAUUUAUUUUGUAAAAUGUUUGAUUUCUUUUGAUUUCACCUUUAAAUCAAUGAGUGUUAUUUUCCUCAAAUGUUUUUGUUUAACAUUUGAUCAUCAUUCUUUUAUAUUCCUAUUUUUUUAAGUCUUUUGUCAACUUGAUUUUUUUUUUCAAUUUUGUCCUCUAACUUUAGGUUGGUUGGGAAUUGAGGGUUGUUGUUUUUUCCAGUUGGGUUACACUAGGCUUAUAACCGAGACCACAUAUUUGAAAGGUUAAAUUGGAUGAUAUUGGCUUUCUUUUUUUUUACACUGAAUUUAUUUUUCAAUUUUAUACGUCGACACUUUACAUUCUAUCUUUUUUUCUAGUUUCUUUAAAAAUUAUUGUGGCCUCAUGAACAGGUUUCAUGUUUGGCAAGUGCACUCGGGUUUACUUGUGUUAUUUUUUUUCCUUUUUUUCUUCGUGCAGCCCUCAAUUAGAUUGAAAUGUAUCUUCAAUGUUUUUUUUUAUCAUAAGCACUCUUUUUUUUCUUUCUUCAUUAGAUGCAUAUGAUAUCGUUAGAUAAGACAAGCUUAUUUGACUCAGCUAGGUCUAUAACUUGAAUCAUGACUUUUUCUAACUUUUUUGAAACACACUUACGGUUCUUCAUAUUUUUUUUAUCACUAAGAUUUGUUUUGGUCCUUAGUGUAACGCGAGCCACAAGACUAAUUUUUACUAGAACUAGAAUUAUAGGAGGGGAAUGGUUGGUCGGGAUGAAAGUUUAAAAACCUAACCACUAUAUCUAGAACAAUUUUUCUAUAUUAGGCUUCCAUAUUUUUAUUUUAUUUAUCCAAACUAAAUUGUUGGUUUAAAGAUUUAUCUUAAGUCCUCUAUAGUAAUGAGCAUUUGUACAAGGAUAGAGUCUAACGUAGACAAGAGCGAGGGAUAAUGGGUUUAUUAUAAGUCAAAACCUUGAAAAAACCAAGAACACUAUAAAUAUAGAAAGACUCUCAAAAUACUUAAUGUUGUCCAUUCAUGUAUCCACUUGCUAAAAGGCUAAUAUAACCUUUUAUAUAGAAAAAACUAGAAAACAUUAAUAAUAUUGAAUAGGAAAAUUAAACUAGAAAAAACAAUUUACUCAAAUAGGAAAAAAAAACUAGAAAAGCUUUAUAAUGAAGAAUAAGAAAAUAUAAAAUAGAAAGAAAUAAAAUUAAUUGAGAAAAAAAUAUAUCUUUCUAAAAAGCUCAUGCAUUAGAGUCUUUGCAAUGAUUAGCAUUUUAUCCUAUUUCUAACAUGAAAAUAAUUGUUAUUUAUGUGUUAAGCAUAAUAAAAUUAAAGUUAAGAACAUGAACUAUUUAUACCUAUAUGUUAAAAAUUUUAUGUAUGGGUAUUAUAUUUAUAAUUUGAAAUUUAUAUUAUGAAUGAUUUGUUAAUCACCAAAGUGAUCAAAUCCUUAAGACAAAUAAGUUCUGAAUUGUGUAAUGUUUUUUUCAAUUACCCUUUAUUUUCAAUGCUUAUAUAAAUAUCAUGAUGAUUAUUUAUUUAUGGGUAAAUUGAAGUUCAUAGCUAUAAGAUAUUUUAAGAUCACUCAAAUAUUGAUUAGUUGUUAUGUGAUUAAUGAGCAUAAUUGUUAGUAAUUAAAAUGUGCUUUUAGUUGUUUUCAUAUCCAAAGAUAGUAAAUACAUCUAAUUCGUGCAUAUAUAAUUUCCAAUUUAAAUCAAAUUUUCCUAUUAUUAUUAUUAUUAUUAUUAUUAUAUUGUUGCUUUGCCCAAAGGAGAUCGUACAUUCAAUGUUUAUGUGAAUUAUUUUUAUGAAUUUGUAUUAUAUAUUUAAGUUUUGAAUAAAAAAAGAGAGUGUCAGUUGAAUAUAUUGGCAUAAUUCUUAUAAUUGUUGAUUCAUUAACGAAAGAAUAGUCAUUCAAAACAUUUGUCAAUUAUGCCGUGUAUUGUCCGUUUUGGGCCUUACCGCCCUCAUGGUUUUGCUCUUAGUGACGCGAGCCCACUUCUGAGCCUGAUGCUCCAAAACGCAUAUAACAUGUUAGCAACCGGCUAUCAGGCUGCGUCAUUACUUAUCCUACAUUUAUUGACUUAAACAUCAUAUGGUCUCUUAUUUUGAUAAGGGAUUUAUUUUGCAAUGAAAAUCAAGCUUAAAGACAAAACCUACAUUUAAACCAACACACUCCAGUCUAAAAUACAUUUAUGGAAAGCCCAAUCUAGUAUGAAGUUUUCACGACUUCAUCACUAAUUUUCAUUUAUUAUUUAUGAUAGUAAUGAGUUAUGUUAGAAGUAUGUUUAGUAAGAAAAAACUUAAAGUUCUUAUUUUUAAAGUAAGAAAGAAACCUAAGUUAUAAUUCAUCAAUCAAAGUUAUUUUUUUAUGAUUUAAUCAAAAUUCUGACUUAAUUUAUUAUGUCAAAAUUUAUUUUCUAAUUAAAUAUAUUGAUGAAUUUUUUAAAUAAAUAGUUAAAAAUCAACUUUCAAAAUCUAAAAAUCAUAUCAAACAUAACUUAAUGAGGAGCCUAUUGUUAAGUAUUGAGAAGAAUUAACCUUCGUUGAAUACCAUAGUUCAACCUGCUUUUCAAAGUGUUUUUCAAAUUGAUUUUUGUCUAAAAAACAACAUUAAGUUGAUGCUUUUUAGGUCUUUGAUAUAUUUUUUAUAUAUCAGUGUCAAAAAUAAAUAAGAAAGAGAUAAUUACAAAACCCAUACUUUGUGGAAUAUAAUUUUCCUCUUAAAUAUUAGUAACUGCAUUACACUUUACAUCUGAUAUUUUGACUCGAAAAUAAAAAUCAAUUAUUAUUUAUAUGUUUGCCAUUAUAGUAAUAUUAAUGACUAAAGUGCCUUUGGUGACUAAAAAUAAGAGAAAAAGAUUGUGUUGCCUUUGGUUUUUUAUUGAAAAACUUGUUGUUGCACAUUGCCUUACUAUUUAUAAAAAUGCCACUAAAAUCAUGCAUAAUGUGAUAUAUCCAACAACAAUUCUUGAUCAAGUCAAAAACAACUAAAAACAUAAAAGUUCAUAUAAAAGAUUUAUGCAUCAGUUUCAACCAAAUGCAAUAAUUCUCCAGUGUUGUUCACCAUUUCAACCCAACAAAAAAAAUCACUUAAACUAACAUUACUUACACCAAUUUAUAAAAACAUUCCAAAACUUUGCAACAAUAAUUCUUCACUACAAAUCAUGCAAACACACAUUGUCUAAAAUUACCAACCUAACACAUAAAUCCAACACACACACCAAUCCAAUACACACACUGCCAAAAACAACCAUAAAAACUAUCAACACACAAUAUAAAACACAAUCCAAAAUUAGCAGUUUAUACAUUUAAAAUAAUAUUAUUAAAAUCAUCAAAUCCUAAUAGCUUACAAACUUCCAACAACUUAGAUAGACUAAAGCACACAAUUUUAAACAUUAAGGUUAUUAUUUACAGUAACCCUACUUGAUCAAAUUAGAAGUUUUUAUAUUUUCUUCAUAAGACAUGCAUUACAAGUAUAAAAUUUAAUUUAAAUAUUACUACAACACUUAAUAUUAUAACCAUUACCCAUUGAUUUAACAUACAAUAAACACACACAAACACAAGUCAUUCAAUUUGGAUUCACUUAAAAAAACUUACCUCUCUCUACUGUUAUCUAUUGUUCCCAGGAUAAAAAAAAAAAGUUGAAUAAAAUAACACUCACAAAGAGCUUUUUAGCUCCUGAUACUCAAGUGAAGAGAUUAAGUAUAAAAAAUAAAGACAUUACUUCAGAUUUAAUGUUUUUGUAUGAGUGUGUCGUGUUAUUAGAGAGAGAAAGAGAGAGAGAAAUCAUGUUUGGGAGAGAGAAACAAGGUUUGUGAGGAAAGUGUGCAAAUUUAUAUUUAUUAUAUACGAGGAUAAAAAUAUAUUUUCGACUAAUUUGACUUGUCUUGUUAAUCACGGAGAAAAACUAAAAAUUUUCAAAUCUUAGAAUGAAAAUGAAAAAUAGACCAAAGUAUAAAGGUUUUUUGUAAUUAUCCCAAUAAAAUAUUCAAAAAGAUAUUAUUUUAAUAUAUUUUUAAUUGAAAAGUACUUUUACAAAAAUAUCAUAUAACACAUUACCAAAAACACACUCAAUAUAUGAUUGCGACUUAUGAGUUACUAUGUUUAUAAUUAUUUAUUUAUUUAUUUAUUUAUUUAUUAUUGGUAAAGCUAGCCCUUUCAUGAGUGAAUGAAUGAGACGUUUUUAUCUCCAUAUGUUCUUUUCUUUUUUGUUGUUCUUUGAAAUGUUCAAUAACAAGAUUAACAUUAAUUAAUUAUGAAUGCAUGUGUAAACUUAAUUUCUGUGCUUUGGCCAGUUUAAGAAAGCAAAAUUCAAGCAAACUAUAUUCCCAUUUAAAUAAAAUAUUGGGCCAAAAUAUGUGUUGUUUAAAAAUCAUAAUGUAAAUUAAAGUUGACCAUUAUUAAGAUUGCUUGUUUUGCUUCCCUCUUGCUGAAAUCUAUAGGUAUUUUUAUCUGAAAAAAAUAAUGGUUUAUAUUGCAAAACAAUUUAGUCAUACCGAUAGGAUUCCAUGUGAUGGGCUCACGAUUAGAUACCGGUCGGCGCUACACUGUAAAAGCUUUUUUUUUAUAAAAAAAAAUGUUCAAGUGCCACAGGCACACUAUAAAAAAAGAAGAAAAUUUAUGUCUCGGGUUAAAAAUUUAAAAAAAAAUAAACAAUGUUGAAUGAUAAAAUCAGAAAAGAAAAUAAAUCUUUUUAUUAAAAAAAAAACAUGUCAACCCGCUUUACUUUUCAAACUCAUAACUCCAGUCAUUAGAUCGGAAACACCAUACCUGGUAAAACCACAAAGUUCAAUCUUCUACUAAUCAAAUGUUGAAAGAUAAAAUAAAAAAAAACUCAAUUAUAUAAAAAAAUCCAAAAUAAAAAAUAACAAUUAAAAAAAUGAUGAUCAAAACUGGAAAAAAAAAUAACUUAGAGGACAACGACAAAUCUUUCAUUGAAGGGAGAAAUUGAAAUGAAGAAUUAAUUUAUCAAAAGAACUAAAAAGAGCAAUAAAAAAGUAAGGAUUAAAUUGAAAAAAUAAUAAUAAAUCAAAAAUUAGAAUCGAAUAAUGAAAUUGAAAUUGAAAACAAAUAAAGAUUUUACAAAAGGACAAAAAAAUAGAAAUUAAAAGAAUAAGGAUCAAAUUGAAAAAAAUAGUAUAUCAUAAAUUUGGAUUGAAUAAUGAAUUUAAAGACAAAUAAAAAAUAUAUAUAAAAGAGUCAAGAAAAAAAAUCAAAAUCAAAAGAAUAAAGAUCAAAUUGAAAAAAAAUAUAUAUAUAAUAAAUUAGGAUUGAAUGAUAAAAUUAAAAACUUUACAAAAGAAUAAAAAAUUAAAAUUAAAAAAAAAUAUAUAUAUAUAAAACUAAAAAGACAACUAUGAAAAUUUAAAUGCUAGAGUGAUUUUAAAAGGAAAGGAAGAGAAAAGAAAGGAAAAACAUCACCGCAACAAACCAGUUACUAUUCUCUAUAUACACAGCAUCUUAGUUUUUUUUGGUGUGAGGUCUCAUUGUGAGCCAUCAUAUGGAAGAAAAAAAAUGUCGUGAACACAUGUUCCAAUUUCCUUGUUAUGCCAUGCCCACACUUGUUUGUUUUUACAUUUUAAAUUGCAUUUGAAUGAAAAAAUAAAUAAAUAUAACAACUAAUAAAAACCUCUUUUAAAUUAUUUAUUUUUGUAUUUCAAAUUGUAUUUAAAUAUAUUUAACUUGAAAAUAUAUCAAAUUAAUAAUUUUUUAAUAUUUUUCAAUAAUUUUAAUAAAUUAAUAUUACAAAAAAUAUUUUAAUAUAUUUUUAAAUAAAAAAAACACUUUCAAAAAAUAUUUUUCAUUCAUAGUUAAAAGAGGAAAAGAAAGCAGCAUUGCUUUGGUUUUCGUCAUGUCUAUGAACCAUUUUCAAGCUAGAUGAACCAUCCACAAAAUAAACUGAAACCACAUAAGAAUAUUACUCGAAAUUAGAAAAGUGCCACCAUAAUUUUUAGAUUUCCGUAGCUACUCUCACCACAUACAAUAUUACUCGGAAUUAGAAAAGUGCCACCAUAAUUUUUAGAUUUCUGAAGCUACUCUGUAUCACAAUAUAUUGGCCAAGAGAUCCCUAUCACUCUCCUGUAACAUUCACAAGCUCGUAUUCAACAAGAGAGAGAUUGUUGUCUUCCUUGACUACAAAUUCUGCAGGCUCAGUGACUUCAACACGACCCCAUUUGUCAACUGCUAGCCUCAUAGAUCCCUUAAACAUGUCAAUCUUUGCAUUGCGGAGGAUUACAGUCGUCCCUGGCUUCACCAAAUCAACUGAGAAAAAGAAAGAAAGAAAAGGUUGUUAGAACAAUAAAGCAGCCAGUAAUGGGGACAUUUGUAAGGUUAAAACAAAUAAACUUUAAAUCACAAAGAAUCUACAUUUUUAUCCAUAUCCAGCUUGUUCCACAAUUUCCAAAACCAUUUGAAUUCGAAGACAAUUAUGAAAAUUGUAGUGACAAUUUAGAAGACUAUAAUCAUGACCAGUAAUAUAAAUCCCCUAAGCAGAGAGCAUCUAGAUAUUAAACAUCCCAUCUGAGCUAUCUCACUGAAUUAAAGUUUGUUGCACCACUGAAAUCUGGGCAAGAAAAAGAAGAUAUCCACUCCAGUCAACAAGCUCAACUAUAAACAAAUAUAAUUUACCACUCAGACUAUAGUUUAAGUUUUUGGAAAACAAGGCUCAAAAGCAACAGAUCACUAAAUAGAGGAGGGGGAUGCAACAAGUUCAUUCACUAAUAGACUUGAGGUUGUACACCAUUAAUAUUGCAUGUUGAUGAAACCCAACAAGAAUGAUCUUGGUCAGACCAUCCACAAAGCCAAUUAGCCAUAAACUGCAAAACCAAUUCCAUCAAUUACAGCUUAUUCACAGAGCAGAACCAGAGUGCAUAAUAUAAGCAGUAACUAAAGAUGUGGAGAACACCACCUCUGAUGCAGCACAUCAGAUUCCACCCAUCAAGUUAAACAUAGCCUCCUCUAUUGAACAAAACAAAUCUAGCACUCAUCCACAUCUAUUGCAUAAAAAUAAUAACCAUAUUCACAACAAGAUCGCAUGCACGCGCACAUAGAUUGAUUUAUUUUUUGUAGCUAUGAAUACUGCAACCAUUCCUAGCUAAGUAGGCAGUUGACUUAAGAGAAAAUCACUAUCCAUCAAUAUUCUAUAGAUUCACAGAUAAUUCAACCUUUGCCAUUGGAGAACAUGCUUUUUAUUUCUUAUUAGCACAAGUUAAAAUGGGAGUUGUUAAGCGUAAUUAGCUACCUUUUGCAAGUCAUGUUGAGGAGAAAGCCUCUAGACCGUUAAUAUUAACUUGGCUACAGCUCCCCAUCCAGACCUAAUUGACAUCAUUUCGCUUCAUAGAGUCGCAGAUCAUACUUGUUAAACCAGGACUACGGUUUAUAUAGUGAUUGGCAUCAUACUCUAGGGAAUCUUCUAUCAUCAUACUCUAAAAUGCAAACGUAAAUUUUAAUGACAUUUCAAAACAAGGCCCAAAAUCAUUUUUCCAAUCUCAAAAGGAACCAAAUUCAACACAAAGAUGCAACGAUAAUUUCAGUUAUGGGAACAAAAACAAUUCCAAAUCCUAAACUUUCAUCUCUUUUCCUAAGCGGAAAGGGUGAGAAAGAAAAAUUCAACAUGAAUCCUAAGAUUCUUGUGCAAAGGAAGAGAGCCCAAAAAUGUCUUAUAUCAAGGCAUAUCAUCCAUUGAAACAUGCAUACAUAAAUUUAAGCACCAUUUAUCCUUCACGCUCAACAAACAAGCAGAAAAUAUUAAAUGUUAAAAAAACAAACAAAUCAUAAACCAAAAAUUAAAAAAAAAAAAAAAAAAAACGUGCAGAUACAUCUUCUUCUUCAGAAAUAAAUAAAUAAAUGAGAGAGAAAGAAAAAAGGAACCUUGUUCGUUUCUUGCGGUGAAGAUGAUGGAACCAGUGUCAUCCCCAAUAAGACAUUCAGCGAUUCGUGACUGACGGAGAUGGUGAGAGACCGAUCGGCCCUUUGGAAGGACAGCAAUGGAAUUAAGGACCUUGACAGUCAAGGUAUGACCUCCAGUUCCAGGCUUAAGCAGGUCCACUUUGGUGAAGACAGGCUUUCUAAGUCCAGGUUUCCCACCCGCAUUGCUGCUCUCUUCUUGUUGUUCCUUUCCUGUUUUUGUUGGUGUUGCCAUUCUUUUGAUUUACCUCAAAUUCCUUAACCCUAAUUUUUAUUUUAUUUUAUUUUGCGAUCAAAAUGGAAUUUUUAUUUUAGUAUUUGUUCUCCGCGUUAGCGUUAGGCGAUUCUAUUCGUUUGCUUUAUCUUUACAUGUUAGGAGAAGAUGCUUUAAUAAAUAAAGUUUGAAUGGUGAGUUUUUGCGACUCAUGGAGUGCUGUGGAAGAAUCGCUAUUUGGGGCGUAUACAGCCACCUAUCCUAGACAGAGAAAAAUAAGGAAAGUACAUAAAAUUAAAAAAUAAAUUUAAAAGUAAAUAAAAUUAAAAUGAAAGUAAAAAUAAAUUUAUUAUUAAAGUUAUAUAUUUUGAUGUUUUAUAAAAUAUAAUUCAUCUAUAAUCAAAUCUGAAUCGAUAUUAUAACAACCCCUUAAUCGAAAUAAAAUAGCAAUCUCAUGUCAACUGGAAAAUAAAAUAAUUAAAUUUUUUUUCUCUCUCAAUUCCUCCUUUCUUCACUUGAUUCUUCCUUAUAUUAGUGUUUUAUAAGUUGAACUUUGUAAGUUUACAAGGUUAUUCUCUCACUUUUCUUAUUUUGUUUUUCCUUGGAUUUUUUUUAUGUUUUUCCCUUACUUUUCUCUAUUUCUCUCUAAUCUUUUCUUCUUUUUUUUUCCUAUUCUUCUUCUGCCUAGUCAGCAACAUAUAAAAGGAAGGAAAAGCAGAUUUGUUUUAUUUUUUAAUGGCAAAUAAUCAUUUUAUUCUUAAUGAGUCGUUUUGCUUUUAUUUGACGGUCCUUUUUUUUUGUAACACUACCAAGCUCCGUUCAUCCUAAAAAUUUAACCAGAUUUUAUUUGAUAUAUUUUAAGAUUCCUUGUAAAAUUUCAGCUCAAUCUGAUUGUUGGAUUGAAAAUUACAUCCAAUAACGUAAAACUAAUCAAAUUGUGAUUUUUCAUCAAAUUUCUAAAUUUCUCCAAAAAUUCUGAAAUUUUAACCCAAGCUAAAGCAUCAUAUUAGAAGGCUCCACGUAAAUUUUUAGAAUUUUUUGAUAACUCAAUCGAGAAUUAUGAAUUUGUUUUUACAUAAAACUAGUCAAAACAUAUUGAUAAAAUCUUGACCUGGGCUAUAGCCCACCCAAGCCUUUAACAUGCUUUCGUCCUUGGUUGUGGUGGUUUAAAGUGUUUUUCACAUAGAAAUACAUCAAAAUAAUUUUUUUUAUUUUUUAAAAAUUAUUUUUAACAUCAUCACAUCAAAACGAUCUAAAAACAUUAAAAAAAAUUAUUUUAAAUAAAAAAAAUUAAAAUUUUAAAAAGCAUAAUUUACAACGCGAAUCUCGUUGGCAUAGCAUGAAAAUUGGAAAUUGAUUGUUAGUUUAAUCAUUCCUUCUAUCGUUUAACAUUUACUGUUUUUUUAUUUCAAAUGCAUAAAAAAAAUUAUUUAUUUUUUAAAAUUUUAUUUUUAAUAUCAACAUAUUAAAUUUAUCUGAAAACAUAAAAAAUUAAUUUAAAAUUAAAAUGCAAAAAUUAUUAUAAUCUUUUGAUUAACUUUUGCACUCUGCGUUAAAACUUCUUGACCCUAUAUUUUAUGGGCUAAGUACGGGCCUAAUUUGUUAACAAUUUUUCUCAGGUUUCGGACUGAGCUAGCAGCCUAAACGAAGACUAGAGACAUCCACACUUUUAUUUCAUUUCUCAAUUUACAUAGGGCCCAUUUAUCUUAGCUUUUCAACUUGGACAAAAGGUGGAUUAAAGUAGCAAUAUUUGUUUUAUGCACAAUCAUUCGGUAGUAUGAAAAAUUCAUUGGAGACAACCAAUAUAUUUUACAAUAUUCGGACCAUAAAAUAUCCAACACAGCAAGAGGUAAAAAUUUACCAAUCUAUACCAUAGACAUAAUAGUGGAAAGAACUUGAACACAAAAUAUUUUUAAUACCUAGUUAAUAGUGGUAACCAAUGGAAACAUUGAGAACCCUAGUUUUUAUUCAUGAUAUAUAUUGAAUCGAUUGAUAUCAUAGCAUGUUGAUCUAUUUGAUGAACAAAGAUGGUAUCUGUGAUGCAAGAGUGGAGGUCAUCUAGAACAAUGUGAGGGCUCGAGAGGAAAUACAAGAAACCUAAUCAUAAAAACCAGAUUGUUGAGAGAAAACAAUGAAAAUGAUAUUAACUAGCUUAAAACAUCUAAUUUGACUAUUGAGAGGUACAAACAAGAAUCAUAUCGAGUAGAGGGAUGUGCUUAAAGACUUACCUCAAGGCAUAUCAAACCUUAGAUCUAUUCUUGCAAACCUAUAUAAACAUUAUGUUUAUAUAGAGAGUGGCGUAUACAAUGAGUGAUGCAUUAAAAACUCAAAUAACAAUUAUCAUGUUCAUAGACGUGUUCUUGAAUUCGAUGAGAAUCUUUUCUUUGAUGAGAAUUUUUUAAAGAAAAGAUUUAUUAGAUGGUUGUUAGAGUUGGAAGAUGAAUUUUAUUUAAGCAAUAUUUUUUUAUCAAAAAAUAAGACUUGUCAUACGUAAACUUUCUUGUGGUGUUAAAAAUGGUGGUUUGAAGUUCUAGAAUAUAGAACUCGUAUUGGUAAGAGUUUAAUUCCAUCAUGGCAAGCUUUGAGAUAAUCAUUAAUUUUGAAGUUUAUACAAAAUAAAUAGAAAGAGAUUUUAUAUUGGGUAAACAAUCAUUUAGAUUGUUAUUAUUUGCCUUUUAUUUAAUUUUCUGUUGUUUUUCAAAAUUAAUAGUUUCAAUAUCAUAUUAAUUACAAUAACAACAACAUUGUUGCAAACACUACUCUAAAAAAUAAUUCCUUCAAGUUUAACAAUCCUAAAAGAAAAAUUUGAAAAGCAUAAUCAAACACCAUUAGUAUAAAUAUUGGCAGACUCACAAAAUUCUUCCUUACCAAAGAUUAUUGUCAAGGUUAAUUUGCAAGUUGAUGAAUUAAAGAAAGUAUAAAAGUAUCUUAAUUUUAAAAUCUCAAAGUUACCCCAUUGUUAUUAAACAAUGAUAGUUUAAAAAGACUGAAAACUACUUUUCAACCCCCUCUUCAACCAAUAUUUAUACUGGUAACUUUGAGAUUUUAAAACUAGUACAUGAAUGAGAAUGAUUUUUUACAAGUAUUUUUAAGAUAUUUUGAAAGAUUAUCUUUAGAGUCCAUUACAUACAAAGGUUGAGGUAACUAAUUUGAUUUAAUUGGCAUUAAAAAAAAUUUAGUUUGUGAGUAGGCUAAUUACAAUAUUAUAUUCAAAGUAUUUUGUUUUUGGUAUGAUCAAGUUUAAUUUCUGAUAGUUAACUCGAGAAUGAUUUUUUCACAUGUUAAAAGGACUGAAAUGGAAUGUUAUUUUUUAUGAUAUAAUUAUUUUUAUUGUAAUAUUUAUUUAAUUAUUAAGAUUUACAAGUAUUUGUUUAGUUUAGGAAUUUUAAUAUUAUUUUGAUUUUAUAAGCUAUGUAACUUUCAAUAAAAAUAUUUUUUAUAUAAAAAUACUUGAUCUAGAAUUAAUAUAAAUAGAAAUCUUUGUUUUUGUUUUUCCAUUAAAAAAUAUUGAAUUACAAACCUUUUAAACAAUAACAGAGUUUUCUUUGCAGUUUUAAGUUAUAAUCUUAAUCAAGUGUUUAUUUACACUAUAAAUGGUGUCAAGAAAAAUAUUUUUUUUAUUUUCAUCUUUCUGGCUCUUUAGCAUAGUUUUUAGACUCGACCCGGUUUAAGGCCCGGGUUUCGGGUUUGACCGGGUCAUCGGAGUCAAUUUUUUUUAAAAAAAUCAAAACGACAUUGUUUUAGUAAAAAAAAAAAAGUCAACGAGUUGUAAUUGGGUUUUUGACCGGGUCUUGCCUAGUCAACCCGCUAAAUCAGCUGGGUCACUCCGGGUUUUUUCUUCCUCUAUUUUUUUUUCAAUCCGGCUCGAUUCCAAUUCCAGGUUCCAGAUCGACUCACCAGACCGAACCAGAUUUUAAAACUAUUCUCUUUAGACAUGGAGUAAACGCAAAAGAAAAGACACAACAAACUUUAAAAUUAUAUUCAACAUAAAAUGAACCAUGAUUGAGCUGAGCAAGCAAUUUUUCGUGCCAUGCAACUAUAAGCAAUAAGAACGAGGAAUCUGAAAUCAUUUUUCUGGCCCCAUUGAUUUGAUCUUUAUGAGGCUCACUCCUCGUAAGGAACAGGAAUCCUCAAGGUACCAGGGCCCGCAAUCGUGUCAUCCCAGAGCAGAUCAGAGAGAGUGCCACUGUCAGCUCUCCCACCCUCCCUGUUCCCGCAAUGAAAGAAAGAACAAGUUGUGUAAAAUAUAGUUUUAAUUAAGUAUAUAAAACAAAAUAUAUUUUUUUUAUUAAUGUUGUUGUGUGGCAUCAGCUUAUAUAUACCUCGAUUAAUUUUACAAGUCCUGAAAUUAACGAUCAUAUAAAUCUCUAGUGAUCCUGAGAUUUGUGAGACUCGAAUUGAUAACCUCUUGAAAACAAACCUAGAAUCUGAUCACUUGAGUUACACCCCUCAGGAUUACAUAUAAAUCUAUAAUUACUUACUUGAGCGGUGAAUAUAUAUAUAUAAAGAUUUUGGGAUAUAUUUUUAUCCUUUUAAAAUAAAAAGAUAAAAAAAAAUGUUUUAUCUUUUAAAUAGCAAGUAUUAAGAAAUAUAAUUUGGGUAAAAAAUAAAUUUUUGAAAACUUAAGGGAGACUAUCCUGUUAAAAAAUCAUCUCAAUCCAAUAACUUAAGCUGCUAGGUAAGAUUUCCAAAUAUAAUUUAUAUUAUUCUCUAACACACAUUCUCAAGUGAAAGUUAUUUGGACUUGAAACUUGCACAGGUUCACAGUACCUUGUGCUUAAUUUUUAUCAAAUAAACAGGGAUGGUGAGAUUUAAACUCAUGACCGCUUGAUUUUCAAGGCUCUGAUACCAUAUUAAAAAAUUAUCUCAAUUUAAUAAUUUAAACUGUUAAAUAAAAUUUUAAAAUAUAAUUUAUAUUAUUUUUUAAUACAUUCCAUAAAAAAAAGAAUUGAUUGAUAUAACUUGCAGAAGCAAAGAAUUCAGUGAAAAGGAAGUGUUAGGAAAAGAAGUUUGAAGAAAUAAUCAGCAAGAGACCAUGUUCAUAGUUACUACAAAAUAAUGGUCUUGUAAGAGGGUGUGAAUCUAUUUUUCUGUUGACUUUUUUGCAGCGGGCGGAGAGUUUGCAGGGCUGUGAAAUAUAAUGAUUGUUUUAAAAAAUAUAUUUUUAUAAAAUAAUAUUUUUAAAAAUUAUUUUUAAUAUUAAUAUAUUAAAAAAUUAAAAAAUAUAUAAAAAAAUUAAUUUUAAACAAAAACAAAAUCCAAAAUUUAGUGAAAUAUGUGAUUCCAAACAGCCUCUUAAUUUAAUAAUUGUGUUUUUAGAUAUGAUAGUGUAGGGUAUUUCUUAAAAGAUUAAAAAUAUAUUAAAAUAAUUUUUUUAUUUUUUUUAUUUUUAACAUCAAAAUAUUAUAAUAAAAACACUUAAAAAACAUUUUAUAUAAAAUAUAUUUUUAAAAUUCACUCAAAUAUAAUUACAACUAAAAUCUUACAACAUCUGAUAAGUGAGAUGCGCCAUGAAAAAAUGGAUUUCUCAUCCUGGUAUAGAAACCCAACUACUUAGUUUCAUCCAAUCAAUUAUGGAGAGUGUUUGCACUGUGUUUUUAAAAAUUUUAAAAAACAAUUACUUAAAAUAUUUUUUUUUAUAUCGUUUUAAUGUGUUGGUGUCAAAAUUAAUUUUUAAAAAAAUAAAAAAAUUUUAUUUUAAUGUAUUUUUAAGGAAAAAACACUUUAAACCGUCACGCUAUCACAAUCUUAAACAGGUCCAUGAUCUCCUGAUAAUUAUCCAGAAAAAUCACAUGUUUUUCUUUUAUUUGUGAUUUUAUGUUUUCAGUCCCAUGUUAUUAUAUUAAGUUCAAAACCAAAAUAGGGAGGGAAAAAAUACUUAAUUUAUCAAGUAAGAUGUGAUUAAAAAAGAUGAAAUUUUUUUUUAAAUAAAUUAAUCAUAUAACAUCUAAUAGAUAAUAGUCUUCUUUUAUGUAUAAACUAUAAACUAGUUUGCUGGCUGCUCCAGACAAACAAAUUUUUAAUGUAAUUAAACGGUAGUUUACAAUGAAUUGUCUUGUAUUAUUAUUGAAUUCUGUUCAAUUUUUAAAAAUUUCUUACCUGAUUUUUAACCAAAUGAGAGUUGUAACAUGAUCAAAUCAACUUAAUUGAUACAAAAAUAAUUUAGAUAUUCGAUAAAAAUAUGGUUUGAUUUUAAAAAAAAUUAAAAAUGUUUUUUUUAUAUUAAGACAAUAACAUACUGAAUCGAUCUAAACUUCACAGCUUAGCUUAUCAAAUUCGCAACCCAAGUCAAUGACUCAUCUGGAUUUAAUAAUUCUAUUUUUAAAAAACUAUUUUUAUUUUUUUUUUGCCUUACAGUAACCUAAUUAACUUGACGUGUCCAAUGGCUACCCAAAUAAUUAAUAAAAACGUGUUUGGCUUUUUUAAAAAAUCAAGGUGAUAUUUUUUUAAUAGUAAGAUGACAAUAUAUUAGAUCGAUCCGAGCUUUGUGACUUAACCCAUUAAUCUUGUGAACAGGGUUAUGGAUUCCAAUAGGUUUAAUAGCUAACAAAAAUAGAUGCUUACAGAAUCUAGCACUAACUAAACAUCAGAAAUUUUUUUUGAGAUUAUAAUAACUUUAUAAAAAAUAAAAUAAAAUAAAUUAUAAAAAAUAAUUUAAAAUUAAUUAAUUGUUAAAGAAAAAAAAAUCAAAGAACAAACGCUAAAAGAAAGAGGGACCUGCUUGCACUGUUCAUAUGACACAGUGCAAGCAGGAUUACCCCUCAAUUCUUUUGAUGUUGCUAGUAAUAAUAAACUUAAGACACCUUAGUCUUGCUUGUAAAUUAAUAUAAAACUAUUCAUAGAUCUCAAGAUUUAAAUAACUUAUUUACCCCUCAAUUCCUAAUCCUCUCAUUUACACUGCAUGGCUGCAUGCAGCCAUAUGAGCUAUGACAGAUUCAGCUCUGUAACAUGCAGAACUCUUUUUUCUUUCUUUUUUUCAUAAGCAAUAAGAACCAAUGGUUAGUCGUAUACCAUUUCGUAGCAAUGUUUUCAAUGAAUUUGUCACUUGCAACUCGGUUAAUGGCUCAACGCCAUGAUACAUGUCUUGAAUACUAACAUCAGCUUGGAAGCAAGUAACAACCAGCUUCUGGCAGGAGGGCUACUGGUUCUUAAACCAUAAAAUUGUCAAGCUAUUCAUGGAAACAGAGGAUUGGAGGAAGAUUAUCAACAAGGGAUAUAAAAAUCUGCUUGUUUAAGUCAUCUUCAAACUGAGCCUUGUUCGCAGCAACCCCUACAUGUUAAGCUAUGUUGUAUCAGUUAUGGUAAAACUUGAGCCAUGAAUUUACUCGCUCUCUCUGUGGUAUUAGGAUCAAUCACUUUGAGUCUGAUAACAUCAUUUUCAAGAAAUCAGAAGCUUCAGGACAGACAAUUUGAUUUUCUUUCAAGGCAGCUUAACUGUUCAUUUCUAACCUGGAAGAAUGAUGACAGAUUCCUCUCUCGCCAGUUUGAAGCUGAAGUCAAUAUCAUCACUGAUAUCUUCCAGUAGUAAGAGAUUCAAUUUCAUCUGCAUUGCAAAAGCAGUUCAAUUAGUGUAACUCCAUUUGUAAUCCCACUCACUUGAAUACAUGGAGAGUUGCAAAUUCUGCUCUUUCCUCGCCAUUACAGCCAUCGAUCCCUCUGACUUGUGCGGGCAAGAGAUACAAGGGGAUCUCCUUUAUCCUAUCACAACAAAUAUCUGAUGUCUGCUUCUGUAUGUUGAUAGUUCUCUUGAAAAAAACCUCAUCAGUUUGCUCAAGAAUGCCAGGUACUGCUGCCUAACAGACCAAAAACAUUAUUGACAAAGAGAACAAAAUAAGCAGAUGAUUCCUGCCAUAUAAAAAAUUUGGUUGCAACUCUGCUUUCUGGAAAGAAAAUGAAACAUUUUUAUGCUCUGUCAAAGCAGAAAGUAACCUGUUUGAGAAGGACACAUCAAUGCAACUUGCAUAUAACAACAAUACUGCAGAAAAGCUAUGCCAAUGCACACACAUAUCAGAAGUAAGGGAGUCAACCUUGGGAUUUCUAAACAUGCUAGAGCCCAGAGGGAUCACUUUUCACAAGCCAACCAAGGCACCAUCCACCUCUUUGAAAGAGUACCAAGGGUAAGAACUGGAACAAUGGCCAAAAGAUCCCAUUGGAACAAAUGGGUUACGACCAAAAGCAAGGUGUCCAUACACUCCAUCAGCAAUAACAAGAAAUUUAAGCUUUUCAGCAGUUUCUGCAAUCUAAAUCCAAAUAUGCAAGUAAACGAGACAUUACUCAGAUAGAAAUCUCAAUAUUUUUUGUAUACAUCGCAAGAUGCUUCGAGUUGGAGGUAAAUACUUGACCACAAACCUUUUUCAAAUGUUGGUAAGAGUAUAAAUUGCCGCAAGGAUUCCCAGGAUUUAUAAUAACCAAUGCUACAGUGUUCUGAUCUGCGAGGGCUUCAAUAGCAUUAAGAUCAGCCUCAAAGCCUUUCUCUGGGAGAAGAUCAUAAUGCCGAACUUCAAGACUCCUAAAAGCAGCACAAAGUUCAUAAAUUGGGAAGCCUGGCCAUUGAAGCAAGAUAUUUGCACCUGGGCGAGCAAGCAUUGCCAACGCAACAUCAAUAGCUUGAGUGCAACCAGAUGUAAUAAAAACAUCAUCAGAUGAUAACUUGUAAGGAAGAUCAUGAGAUAGGUAUUCAGCAAACAGAAUAGUAGGCAUAUUAAAAUCAAGAAGAAACAAAUAAACCAUAUGAUUCAUUGCAGACUCUCAAAGUUGAACAAGGAGCCUUCGUAUACCAAAGGCUAAAUCUAAGGCUAAACCUAAGGCAACUCGGUACUUUAAAAUUGCUUUAUGACUCUUAAUUUACUGUUAACUGAUGCGUAACAAUAAAUAAUAAAAUUAAAGCAAGAAUAAAAAGAAAUUUUAGAAAAAAAAGAAGCUAAAGAAGAGAAAAAAGGGGAUUGGAGUUAUGCAAAAUCUGUAAUAUUUUCAUUAAUCAUAAAAACUGUCUCUCAAGAUGACAGAAGAACAUAUAAAUAGUAAACCUUAAAACAUCCCGCUAUUGAGCUCGGCCCAUCAAAUCAAACUGUUUAACAUAAAUAAUAAAAUAACAAUGAGUAGACCCAAAUGGGCUAAAUAAAUAAAAUAACAAUGAAAUAGGCCCAAAUGGGCUUAGUCUCCCAACCAAAGCAUGACAGGCUGGGCCAUCCUACGUCGUCUCCAUCCAUAUACUUGUGUAGUUUGUGGUGUGGGUCUGGUGUCCCCACCAACUCUCCCGGGGUUAGAGAAAUUCGACCCCGUCGAGUGUAGUACUGGCCGACUUCGAUAGUACUCCCAAAGAUAUGGGUCAAGCUGCUGCAAAGUAUCUUUAGUAAUCCAAGUGCAAUCUGAGUCAGGUCGACCCACCCAGCGAACUAGAAACCGUUGAACCUCACCAUUCCUGUUAAAAACAAAUUGUUCAUCCAGAAUAGCAUCAAUAUUAUCCUUUUAUGCUGAUGUCAAGGUGAAAGGGAUAGAGGUUUCAAUAGGAUCAUCAGAAGGGGAGUUAAGUGGUAUCUCAAAUGGAUCAUCUGGAAUAGAAAGUGGUUUGUGGUAUGCAACUAGAUCCUCAAUAUUAAAUGUAGAGCUAAUGCCAAAAUCAUGUGGUAAAUCAAGAACAUAAGCAUUUGGACCAACCCGUUGUAGGACUUUGAAAGGCCCGGCACUACGUGCAUGUAAUUUUCGAUUAGCUCCCGAAGGAAACCGCUCGGGUCUAAUCUGUAUCAUAACAUAGUCUCCUACAUUAAACUCAUUAUGUCGUCUAUGUAAAUCAGCUUGAGGUUUAUAUUGUGCAUUACUUGCUUGAAUCUGUUUAGUGAUCUCAAUAUGCAAAUCCUGAAUUCUACGUGCAAAAGACUCGGCUGACUCAGACACUCUAGUAUGAAGGGACAUGGGAAGAAGGUCUAAAGGUUUCCUAGGCUUGUAACCAUGUACAACUUCAAAGGGACUCAUGCCUAUUGACCUAUUGAUAGAGCUAUUAUAGGCAAACUGGGCCAUAGGAAGAAUCAGAUCCCAAUUCCGAUUAUGAUCACUCACUAGACACCUUAAAAGGUUGCCCAAACUCCUGUUAACUACCUCAGUUUGACCAUCAGUUUGGGGGUGGUAAGCAGUAGAAAACUUCAAUUUGGUUCCCACCAUAUGCCAAAGGGUUUUCCAGAAAUAACUUGUGAAUCCAACAUCCCUAUCCGAAACUAUGGUUUGGGGAAGACCAUACAACUUGACAAUCUCAUCAAAAUAGAGUUUUGCAACUUUGGAAGCAUCUGUAGUCUUAGUAUAAGGAAUAAAAUGGGCCAUUUUAGAGAAGCGGUCGACAACCACAAAAAUAGAAUCAUGUAUCUUUGCAGUACGUAGAAGCCCAAGCAUAAAAUCCAUGCUCACAUCUUGUCAAGGGCAAGUAGGAACGGGUAAUGGGGUGUAAAGACUAGUAUUUUGUUUUUUAUGCUUAGCUAGUUGGCAAGUUCGACAUUGACCUACCAAUUUAGCGACAUCUCUUUUCAAACUAGACCAAAAAAACUGGCGUUCCACUUCUUCGAUGGUUUUAUUCCUCCAAAAUGUCCUGAGAGACCUCCAGCAUGAAUCUCCCAUAUCAAAAAAUCACGCACGGAUGUUUUCGGGAUACAAAGCUUAUUAUCCCGAAAUAAGUAUCCAUCUUGAAGGUGAUAACCAUUUAUAACACGGCGAUUCUCAUCCUUCAAUGUCAAGUAUAUUUCUCCAAAUUUUGAGUAAGAUUCAUACUCCUCUUUGAGUCUCUCAAAUCCUGUGACUUCAACACUCAUUACAGAUAAUAGCGUUACCCGACGACUCAAAGCAUCUGCAGCCUUAUUCUCUAUUCCAGAUUUAUGUUUCAAAACAAAUGAGUAUGCUUGCAAAUAUUCAACCCAAUGACCAUGCCUAUGAUUAAGCUUCUUUUGGGAGUUAAGAUAGCGGAGGGCCUCAUGGUCGGAGUAAAGAACAAACUCCUGUGGUAACAAGUAAUGGCGCCAAUAACGCAAGGCCUGAACCACCGCAUAAAACUCCUUAUCAUAAGUUGAGUACUUUUGUUUUACCUCAUUAAGUUUCUCACUAAAAUAGGUUAAAGGGUGACGUUCCUGACUAAGUACUCCACCUAUACCGACUCCCGAAGCAUCACAUUCUACUUCAAACACUUUAGUAAAAUAAGGUAGCCGCAUUACUAGGGCCUCCGUCAUUUUCUUCUUAACCUCCUCAAAUGCCCUAUUAGCUCCUUUACUCCACUUAAACUCACCUUGUUUCAAACAAUCUAUAAUAGGCGAUAUGAUGGUGCUAAAUCCCUUAAUAAAACAAUGAUAGAAAGUCGCAAGCCCAUGAAAACUACGAACCUCAUGAAUAGUCUUAGGUUCAGGCUAAUCUACUAUCACUUGGACUUUCUAGGGGUCAGCAGAGACUCCUUUCCAUGACACUAUAAACCCUAAAAAGACCACUUGAUCUGUAAAGAAGGAACACUUUUUGACAUUUGCAAACAAACUUGCCUUUCUUAGGGUGGUACAAACUUGAAUAAGAUGAUCGAAAUGCUCUUCCUUGGUUUUGCUAUAAAUAAGAAUAUCAUCAAAGUAUAUCACCAAGAACUUUCCCAUAAAUGGCCAAAGCACUUGUGUCAUUACUCUCAUAAAAGUGCUUGGUGCAUUGAAAAGGCCAAAAGGCAUGACUAGCCAUUCAUAUAAACCAUCCUUAGUCUUAAAUGUUGUUUUCCACUCAUCUCCCGGACGGAUCUUAAUCUGAUGAUACCCACUCUUCAAGUCAAUCUUAGAGAAGAUUUGGGCUCCUACCAUUAUAUCUAGCAUGUCAUCCAAUCGAGGAAUUAGAAAACGAUACUUGAUUGUAAUUCUAUUGAUGGCUUGACUGUCGACACACAUUCUCAAUGAUCCAUCUUUCUUGGGUGUUAACAAUGCAGGUACCGCACGAGGGCUCAAACUCUCUCGUAUAAAUCCCUUUUGUAACAACUCACAUACUUGCCUUUGCAAUUCAACAUGUUCACUCGGGUUCAUUCUAUAGUGAGGGAAGUUUGGUAAUGUGGCCCUAGGGACAAAAUCUAUAGCGUGUUGAACAUCACACAUAGGGGGUAAAGCAUCAGAUAGUUCAGAAGGGAAAACAUCUAGAUAUUCUCUCAACACUUCUUACCUCUUCAAGUGGCUUCUCUAAAAAAUCUUCUACAAUCUCCUUAGCCACUACAGCAAACACAACAAACUCCUCACAAAUCUCCUUAUCAAACUCCCUAGGACUUAUUAUGUUAAGCCCUCCAUCUUUCACUUUAUUCUUCUUCUAACUAUUAUCAUUAGACCUUGGGGGCAAUCCAAUAAGUUGGAUUUUUUUACCUUGAAAAGUGAAUGAACAAGAAUUUGAUCGUUCAAAGAUUAUAAUGUCCAAAUCAUAUAACCAAGGCCUACCUAAAAUGACGUGCCCUACAUCCAUGGGAAUGACAUCACACCAAGUUUCAUCAUGAUAGUCAAAAAUCUUAAUGGGAAAAAGAUAUCUCUCUUUGACCGCUAUAAAUGUAUCAUUAACCCAAGACACAUUAUAGGGUUUAGGGUGUGGAACAGACUUUAAGCCUAAGUGGGAUACACUACCCGAGGAAACUGUAUUGAUACAACUACCACUGUCUAUGAUGAUCUUACACCCUUUAUCUCCAUAUUUAAUGUAAGUGUGAAAAAUAACAGUCCUUCUCCAAUCCUUAGUUCCUUUAGGUUGUGUUAAAGCACAUCUAACCACACCUAACCUGGUUGUCUUGAUUUGAGUGGAUAUAGACCUAACACAUCCUAGCAAGUUAGACUCAUCAUCCUCAUCAUUUAGAUCUUGAAAAUCAUCGGGAUUGGGUUCAUAUACCUUAUCAUCACAAUUAUCUUCUUCAUCCAUAUCCUCUUUCCCCUUGAUGAACAAAGCCUUAUUAGGGCAGCUAGAGGAAAUAUGACCAAAACACUGAAUUCUUGAAGUUUUAGGUGCUUCAUGAAAAAUACCCUUACCCUUGUCUUCUCUAGGUAUCUGGGAAAUCAAAGGAUUGGGUUUACGAGGUGGGGCACCUAAUAUGGAGUUAUUACUACCAGGUUGAGAUCUAGAAGGGGUAUUACGAGUGUCCUGACGUCUUGUCCACUAGCUUUUUGUGACCAAGUCAUAAUUUUAUACUAGGGUAUAAGCUUCAUUAAGGGUGGAAACACCCCUAAGCACAACCUCUCUUCUAAGGUCAUUGUUUAAGCCUUUUUGAAAUAUACUUAGGGUCAUCACUUCAUCCUCCCUAACUGCACACCUCAUCCUAUACUCAUCAAAUUGUGCCACAUAUUCAUUGGCAGACUUGCCUCCUUGCCUCAAGUUGUUCCACUAGUCCAAAAGAUUUCCUCUAUAAGAACGAGGCAAGUACUUUUCUUCUAACUUAGUUUUCAUUUCAACCCAGUCAGUAAUAGGGGGUUGACCUCUCCUAAUCAAAGACUCUUCUACACUUUCCCAAUAAAACUGAGCAGUUCCACUAAGUUUCAUCUUUGCAAAUCUUACCCUUCUAUUCUCAGAUAGAUUAUACCAGCCAAAGAAUUGAUCCAUGUCACGGAUCCAUCUAUCAAAAAUCCACGGGUCAAGUUGACCCUUAAAAGUUAGGGCUUCUACCUUGAUAUGCCUCAUGACUCACUCGUCAGGGUCAUCAUAGUCGUGAUGGCCCUGAUUGUGGUUGUAUUGACGGUUCAUAGGAUGAACUGGUCUUUGACGGUAAUCAUUGGAACGCUCACUAUCAUGAGGGUCAUCAAAGUCAUUGUUACCCUGGUGUUGGUUAUGGUGGCGGUUCCUACGAGGAACUGGUCUUUGAGGAUUCAUAUGGUUGUCACUAGAAUGCUCACUCUCACUAGACUGUCUUAUUUGCAAAGUUUCUAUGGACUUCAUCCUUCCAGAAAGGUUGUUCAUUUGAUUGGACAUGUUGCUCAUUUCCGUUCGCAUAAGUUGUAAUUGUUCUUGAAUAUCUCUAAGAACAUUACUAGAGUUCGAAUCCAUGGUAGCUAUGACUUCUAGAUUGUGCACUAGACGACCACUACGUAAAUGCAUGCAAAAACUAAUCCUGAGACUGAGAUCACAAAAUAACACUUGCAAGUAAAACGCAAAAUAAAAUUAUAACUAAUAAAAAAAGAAAAUAAAGAAAAUAAAUUUUUAAAAUUUUUUUUUAUUUUUUUUUAUUAUCUUGGAGACUAAGUAAUGACAGAUUAAACCAGGAAAAUGUGCAAACAAGCAAUGUAAGUCCUCUAAAUGCACACAAGUAAUCCAAACACAAUGUUUCAGUUUUACCAUUAAUUUAACCAAGCUCCACAAUUAAUUAAGAGGAUCAGAUCUUCAAUGCUAAACAAGCUCAAAAUUAAGGUAAUUCAAUGUAAAGGCGGGCUAUGUAACUUAGUUAUGGGCAAGCACAAAAAAAUAAUAUUAAUGCUAAAUAUUGGUUAACAAGUGUAAAAACAUACAAGGAAUGAUGAUUUUCAAUGGGUAAAAAUUCUGACUAUAUGAUGUGGCAGUGAAGGAUUACGUGGCAGCUGACAUAGCAGGAUAUGCUGAUGAGACAGAUGAUGAGGUGGGGGUGCUGACGUGGCAAAGCUGAUGACGUGGCAGGCAACGUGGCAAGAACUGAUGACAGGGCAGAUGGCACGGAUGCUCUGGCGUGGUGCUGACGUAGCUAGGUUAAUUAUGUUAUCAGCUUCUGUUUUCUUGCUUCCCUAGCUUAUGUGAACUGUUGCCGCUGCUGUCAGCGAUGGCACACGAAGCGGGGCUUCGUGACUCUGCUUGGGCCCGGCGGUGCGAGGGAAGAGGUGGUGGUGUCUGUGGUGUCGCUACUGGACGGGGCCUGUUGAUCCGUUGUCGCUGCUGAAGGUGAGGGCACUGUGGAUUGUGGCGUUGCGGCUGGUGCGGCUGAUGGCGCUGAUGGUUAGCAAAUUUGGAACCGAAGACAAAGAGCUGUUGUGGCUGCGGCGCUGCGGGUUGUUGAAGGUAGUAAAUCGGCGUGGACUUGUGAUCGUUGGCUGUGAUCGGCGUUGAUGUAAAAUGGUCGAUCGUUCUGUGGGACUGAUGUGCAAGUCUUCUUGGUGGUGGGUCUGCCGUUGUGAUUGCCUGAGGCGCCGCUGAAGGCGGGGCGCCACUGCUGAGGAUCGACGAUGAACAGUUUUUUUUUGUAAUCAGAACAGUGCGCUUUUUUUUUAGAUCAAUCUAGGGUUAAACAUAAGCCUGUGGAUCAUUUAAUUGUAAGAACAAUUAAAAGCCAUGCUCUGAUGCGGAACAAUAAAUAAUAAAAUCAAAGCAAGAACAGAAAGAAGCUUUAGAAAAGAAAGAAGCUGAAGAAGAGAAGAAAGGGGAUUGGAGAUAUGCAAAGUCUGCAAUAUUUUCAUUAAUCAUCAAAACUGUCUUUCAAGAUGACAGAAGAACAUAUAAAUAGUAAACCCUAAAACAUCCCGUUAUUGGGCUCGGCCCAUCAAAUCAAACUGUUUAACAUAAAUAAUAAAAUAACAAUGAGCAGGCCCAAAUGGGCUAAAUAAAUAAAAUAACAAUGAAAUAGGCUCAAAUGGGCUUAGUCUCCCAACCAAAGCGUGACAGGCUGGGUCAUCCUACGUCGUCUCCGUCCAUAUACUCAUAUAGUUUGUGGUGUGGGUCUGGUGUCACCAUUAACUAAAGUAAGAACUCAGUAUUUAAGUUGUCUUUUUAUUACUUUAAACUGGAAGAAAAGGAAAACAUUUAAAGCCAAAAGAAACAAUAUUAAGUUGCUAGUUAUAGAUUAUUUCAACAGAAAUCGUAGCAAAUAAGUAAAUAGUACUAAAUCAAGCAGGCCCAGAUUGUAAUUCUGGAUUGAAUUUAGCUGCAUUUGCAAUGCGAAAUUAAAGCUAAUUAAGGGUACCUAGAUCAUCUCUUUUCCAUUACUUUCAUUUGCAAUCAUAAGAAUAAAGAAAUUGAAACAAGUCAAGAGGAAGACAUCAUAGCAUAGUUUUGAAACCCGGCCCGGCCCGGCGGGUCAACCCGGGGCCAGAACCGGGCAGGGUUGAUGAAAAAACGGGGGAAGAAAAAACCCGGUGUGACCUGGCAAGACCCGGUCAAGACCCGGUGACAAACCCGUUGACUUUUGUUUUUUUUUUGUUUUUUUUUUACUAAAACGACGUCGUUUUGAUUUUUUUUUUUUAAGAAUUGACCCGGCCAACCCGGUCAAACCCGGUGACCCGGCCAAAACCUGGAACCCGAGCCUUGGACCGGGCCGGCCACCGGGCCGGGUCUUAAAACUUUGCAUCAUAGGACUAAAACUUUAAGCAAAAGGAAUUACGGCUACAGUAAAUUACUUCAACAAAUGAGGAAGCAGAAACAGUAAUUUUCUGCGCCAAAGUAAAUUCAUAAAACUGAAAUCCAUACAAACAAUCAAGAUUUGACUCCAGAAUUAAAGUUAAUUGAGCAAUAACUCUAAAGAAAUCCAGAAUUUACAAAAUCACUCUAUACCAACGAACAUCAUGCAACUCGUUCCUAGUGAAAGAACAGAAAAAGAAUGAAACCUAGUCCCAAUGAACAUCUGCAUGUAACAAAUUCAUUCAACUGCAGAGCCAAAAAAGAAGAAAAAUUUACUAAAUCUUUACCUUCUUGUUUGAGGAAGGCCUACUGUAGGUGCAUAACCAUUGAAAUUAUCAGAUUGAAGAGCAUCAACAACAGCUCCUUGAGCAAGUGUGAAAGCAAGAAUGAGCAGUAGGGUCACCCAUUAACAAACUGCGAAUUCCUUUGAUGGUAAUGUUUUUAGGUGUCUCCAUUUCAUAACCAUUCACUGCUCCAUUCUCCAUACUUCAAGUAAUUCUUUUAGUUUCCUGCUGUGUACCUUUGGUUCUUGCUUCUUUAGUGUCUUGGAAACUGGGUUUUUGGUUUUCUUUUAAUUUAUCUGUGUGAAAAUAGAGAAAAUGAGUUAAGAUAGAUGGAGGAGGGGGUGAAAGUGAGUGCAUGCAUACCACACGUUUUCCCUUACUAGCCUGUCUCUGCAUGAGAACAAAUUUGGUGGCUGUUUUGGACAGAGUUUUGGAACAAAACCAAGAAAACAACUAACAAAAUAGCUUUAGGUUAUGCUUGUUUUUCUUUAAAAAAAUAUUUUUGAAUUUUUUUAAAAAAAAAUUAUGAUUUUUUAUCGUUUUAAUGUGUUGAUAUCAACAAUAAAUUUUUAAAAAUAUAUAUAUAUUUUAAUGUAUUUCCAAACAAAAAACACUCUGAAAAACAACUGUUACAACAACCUCAAACACUACCUUAAUCAUUAGGGUAGUAUUUGUUUCCGAGAUUCAAUUAAUUUAUUAAAGUGUUAAUUUUUAAGAUUAUUUAAAAAAAUUAAAUUAAUUUUUUAUAUGUUUUUUUAAUGAUUUUAAUGUAUUAAAGUAAAAAAUAAAAAUAAAAACUUAAAAUUUUUAUUUUAAUAUAUUUUUAAUUUAAAAAAACUUUUAUAAAAAUAUUUUACCCAAACAUAUAAUUUCUGUGUUUUUCCUCCUUAUAAAAGAUUUUGAAUUCAAAUCUUUUUUUAUGUAAAACAAACAAACAAAAUUACAAGUAGCUAGUUAGAUGAUUUAUAAAUAAGUAAUAUGACUCCACACAACAAUUUUGACGUAACAAUUAUAUUAAUUGAAUUUUUUUAAUUAUAUUUAUUUUCAUCAUAUAACAAUGUUAACUAAUAUUUUUUUUAAUCCUAUUCAUAUUUAUUUUGAGAAAACCACAAUCUCAAUUAGUUUCUUGACUAGUUGUUCUGUAAACCUUUUUCCAAUAUAUUUUUGUCACAUUUAUAAAGGUUUAUCAAAUGUAAAAAAUUACAAGAUUAAUAUACAAAAUUAAAAAGACUAAGAUGCAAAAAGACAUACCUAGUAUCUAACUUUAGAUGUGACACCCUGUUGUUGUCCUGUUAGUAUAGCAUCUCUUGUACCAACAAAUACAAACAUUAUCGACAAGUUCCACGAUCAACAAAAAUAUCAUUUCAAUUCUAAUCCAUUCUAAAAUUUAACUCACUAAGUAAGAACCUUAAACUUUCACACAUGUACACAAUGCUUUAUUUGUCAUAAUUUCUAUAGUGUCGAGUUACAAGCAAAGGUUGGCAAUUAAUUAUUUUCGUCACUUUAGCUUAAGGCUUCUCAGAACACUAUUUAUUGUUUCAAUCAUAACCAUAGUCGUAGUACUCAGUUUUAAACGUGGUUUGUUUAGUUAGAAAGAUAAGAUAUAAGGCUACAAGUUUUAUGAAGGGUUAUGAACCCCGAUCUGCCAUUUAUAUAUAUAAACUUUCUCAUGACAGUAACGUAUAGGACUGUCCAGUAGAUUCCAAGUUAACCCUUUUAUCAUUUUUUAGCCUAUAUUUGAAGUUUUGUAGCUCCCAAUUAUGCAAAAUCAGUUGCAUUUGAAAGCUAACACUCAUACCUACAACUUUCAUAAAGAUAAGUAUUUCGUAUUUUAUCAUUUUCAGAGUCAAAUUAUAGUUGGACAUCUAGUGGUAAAGCUGUUCUUUUUUAGCUUGUAGCAACUAAAUGUUUUAAUGUAUCUCUUCAUCAUUUAAGGCACCCAUUUUGUUUCACUAACAAUUUCAACACAUCUCAUAACACAUCUUUAUCCAAUCCAAGCAACUUGGAUGAAGUUUUUACCUUUGUUAAAUGAUAAAUCAAGAGACAAAUGCAAGGAUAUAAUUAAGUUGUCUUCACUUUCUCUUUUCUCCCUUCACUUCCUCUAAAACCACCACUUACAACCUAUAUUCUCUAACAUCCCUUGAAUUGUUUUUCAUUUUAGUGGUUUUGAUCUUCCAAAUCUCUUAAAUCUAUGUUUCUUUUAGUAUUUACCAAGAAAUUUGUAAGAAAUUUGCAAGGCUUUCUCCUCUCUCCCUAACAUGCAAGGCCAGUUGGAAUUGGCUUUCUUUGGAAGUCACGUCUCCUAUUUAUACCCCAUAAAUCCUUUAUUUGCAUAUUAAACCCUCAUAGUUUCUAUAGUUGCAUAUUAGCCCCUUAUUUUUUUGUUAUUUACACAUUAACCCUAUAUUUUCCCCUCAUUUUCACAUUGACCCCAAUAUUUUUUUAUUCCUACAUUGGCCCACUAAACUCUUUCUUUCUAAUAAUUUAAUGCUACAUCAUUUCUUUUCUCAUUCUUUUUUUUUUAUCCUUUUCUUUUAAUUAGAGUUUUCUUUCGAUUUAAUCAUUUAUUUCCAGGUUAAAUUGUCCCCAAAUCCACCAUUAAUUUAUUCUAAAUUGAGGCUGAGUUAUUGGAAAUUUUCAUUGAAUAUAUGUUAGUAUAUUUUUCUCACAUAAAUAUUUUAUUUUAAAUUUUCAAAGCUAUCAUCUUGCCCGCACAAUAAAUUCUAUUAUUUUAACUUAUUAGAUUUUUUACUAUUUGUGUAUAUUCUAUCAAAGGAUUUACAAUUAUGAAACUUCAUUUCCAACAUAUCUAAAUGUUGACAAUUGAAAUUAAGAAAAAAAAACAAAAUAUGUGAAACCAGUAUAUAACCAAUAGAAAGUAAAUAAAAAAAUGACAAAGCACAAUUUUUAAAACAAACUAAUAUUGAAUAAUAAAAUUUAAAAAAAAAUAAAGGGAUUGGAUUGUUGAAGGGUUAAAUUGAAAAACAUAUAAAAAAGUUAACAAAAGAAAAAAAAUCAAUAUUUCAAUAUAUAAAUAGUGUUUUAUGGAUAUGACUAUAAUGAUUUAGCCGUAUAUUUUAGUAGUGGUGUUCACGGUCCGAUUCGAACUUAAAAAUCUAACCCAAUCAGAAGUUAGUAUUCCUUAAUAACAUAAUCAGGUUUUACACCGAAAACAAGUUCAAAUCAAAAAUAAAAAUCAUAACAAACAAAAAGAGCAGAUGCAAAGGACUCUCUCUGCACUAGCAUUAAACAAGAUCAUUACUUUCAGAUCUUCUAAUUUGACCAAACAAUCCAGCACAACAAGAUUUUCUCAAAAGUGGACACAAACAGGGCAUGGAAAGUGGAAACCUCGGCUACAUCUUGAUGCAAGAUAUGAUCAUCAAUUACUUUCUUAUACUCUGCUUAUUUUUUUAGAUAGAUUCUAGUUUCAGUUUCAGCUUUCUGAAACAGAAAAGACUGGGUGAUUUUUCUAGUUUUUAGAUCAAGUUUUUAUAUUUUCUCUCUCGAUUUGGUUUUCCUGUUAUUUUAUUAUGGUUUGCCCGGUUUAAUCAUAUGGUUGAAUUUCUUAGAGAAAACCCUACCCUCGGGUGUUUUUGUUAAUAUUUUAAAGCAUGACGUGGCCUUGCGAGCGUGAAAAUCUACUGCCCCUUUAAAUAAGAUUUCUUUGUUUCAUUAUAAAGUGAUGAGGGUAGAUACGAGGGUUGGAUUCUUCAGCCCCUUUUACCAGCAAUUAUAAUAUAUUUCUCGCCCAUUAAUUUUCAAAGGUAGAUUAUGAUUACGAUGGGCCUUGUUUUCAAUAUCGAGACUAAGUAACUUUGCUGUUUUUGUUAUGAUCCAUGAAAAGGAUGGACUGAUGAACAUCAUGCGUGAUUUGUUGUAAUACGAGGAAUUUGUAAGAUCUUCCAUCUGAAACAACAGCUUGAACAGUUAACUGGAUCAAUCAAAUGACUAAGAUGGAUAUUAAAGAUUCUCCUGCACUCUCUCAAUCUCAGCAUCUGCAACAUUGCACUAUUCAGCAUCUGCUAUUCUAAAAGUAAAUCAUUGAUGCUUUCACGGUUUAAGACUAGAGGAGGCACAUGUUCCCUGUCUCGAAGAUCGACUUUCAUGGUGACAUAUGGCAAACAAGUAAAACUACAACGUGAUCUGGAGGGAUUCUGAGUUUCUCACUAUAUUGAUAAAUUCUCAACAUCAAAACUAGAAGGAUACUCAAAUUUCAACAUUUCCUGGGAUUUCAAUUUGAAAAAACAAAACCACUUCAAAUAUUACAUAACCUGAAGAAGCCAACUGUUUAACAGCUGCAAAACCCUAGAUACAGCAAGAGGGAGGUUAGGGGUGGUGGGAAAAGCUCCUUUGCCACCUUGCUUUUAGCUAUUCCCUUGGGACAUCUUUUUGUAUAACGUAUCGAACUGUGAUUGCACCUUCUUACCAUAAAAAUGUUAAUGGUGUAAAGUGUAAGCAGCCAAAAAGCUAAACUGUGGGCAGUGAAUCCACAUCAUUAGAUGUAAGUUUUUUGCAACUUUGCAGACUCAGAGCCUAUAAACAUUUGCAUCCUUUUCAUUUGGGGCUCAAUGAGAUCAACAAAAACUCAGCAUCAAAAGCAUAAAAAAAAAAAAUAGUUCCCAAAAACAGAUAUAAACAUUCAGCAGUGAAUAAAAAUAAUAAAAGAGAAUGGAGGAGAAGAGAUAAAUAUGGCGUGUAAUAACAAUGUCUCUGACAAGACUAAUAAUUUAAUCUUUGUACUAUGCUAACAGAGGAGAUAUGAAGCAGCUUUAUCGAUUCAUGGUAAAAAUCUUGAAAAAAUGUUUGUUUUUUUUUAAAUAAAAAUAUAUAUUAUUUUAAUAUAUUUUUAAACAAAAAAACAAAUAUUAUCAUUAUCUCAGACACUUUUAAUAAUAAAACUUUUUAUUUUUUAAAAAAAUUACAUAAUGACACAACUUAUUAAAUAAAAAUGUUAAAUUAAUAAGGGAUUACGCAACUAGAACAAGAGUAAUCCAUUCAAUAAAAAAACAAUUUUCCUUUCAUUUUCUUCACUGACAGGGAAUACCUGCACACUUUCUCACGCACACACGCAUACUCCAAAGCAGAACCCCUCUCCUCAGACACAUACAUCACCCCCUCCCUCUCUCCUAUGGGCCAUAUCAUAUCCGUAGCUCCUAUAGACAGAAAGAGAGAGAAACAGGAUAGGACAGAGCAGGGAAAACACAGAGAUUUUCCAAACCAGCCAGAUCAUACCUUCUCUCUCACUAUUAUUNNNNNNNNNNNNNNNNNNNNNNNNNNNNNNNNNNNNNNNNNNNNNNNNNNNNNNNNNNNNNNNNNNNNNNNNNNNNNNNNNNNNNNNNNNNNNNNNNNNNUUAUAAUUACUAGCUAAAGUGAUCUCAUACAUUAGACAGCAAAGUAACAAAACUUCUCUAUAUCUUGUAGAAACACAGUCUGGCAUUGUUUCUUGGCUUUGUUUAGACGUUUUGCAGUGUGGUUUUUGAUGGGUUUUUGAAGAAGUUUGGAACUUCAGCAAUUUCUUUGGCUUUCUUUAACCUUUUCUCGAGCUUGACUUUCUUUUGUCAAUUUAUUGAAGUGGGUUUUUUUUCUCUUUCUUUUCAAUGGAGAGCUACCACCACUUUGGCGAUGGUGAUACCCAUUUGCCUCCUGGCUUUAGGUUUCACCCAACUGAUGAGGAGCUUAUCACCUACUAUCUCCUCAAGAAGGUUCUUGACAGAAACUUCACUGGUAGGGCCAUUGCUGAAGUUGACCUUAACAAAUGUGAGCCAUGGGAACUUCCAGGUAAUUCAUUAAGAUACAUUCUCUUCACUUAAACUUUCAUUUUCACACAAACAGUUGCUAACUUCUGGUUUCCAUAUGAUUUAUGUUGACAGGGAAAGCUAAGAUGGUAGAGAAAGAGUGGUACUUCUUUAGUUUGAGAGAUAGAAAGUACCCGACUGGGCUGAGAACUAAUAGAGCCACUGAAGCUGGUUAUUGGAAGGCUACAGGGAAAGACAGGGAGAUUCAUAGCUCAAAGACUGGUGCACUUGUAGGAAUGAAGAAGACUCUGGUGUUCUACAGAGGGAGAGCCCCUGAAGGAGGUAAAAGUAACUGGGUUAUGCAUGAGUAUCGCCUUGAAGGAAAAUUUGCUUACCAUUACCUCUCCGGGUGCUCUAAGGUAUAGUGAGCUCAUUUGUUUUGUGUCACCAUGUUCUCUCUUUCAAGUCAUGCAAGAAAAAACCUGUUUUCUAGGGGUUAUACUCGUUUUCCUGUCAAGCCUUGUUUCUCAUCCCAGUCCACGCCGUGUUAAUUAUUUGGAUGCCCCCUGCUAGUGACCUUACACUGAGGUGCCAUAUUUCAUGAUUAGGGUUGUGGUAGUGCAUCGAAGAAAGAGAUUAGGUUUUUGAGUUUCUAUACAGUGGCAUGGCGAUGAUAUAGGGCUAGUACUGUGUGUGUUUUUUCUUUUGCUCUUAGAUUCUUUUUGGAAAAGCAAUAAUUCAAGCAUUUCUGAUGCAAAUAAUUUCAUGGUAGUUAUGGUCUCAACAAUAAAUGAAUCUGCAGCUGUUAUUCAUUAAGGGGCUGAAAAAGGCAUGCCAUUAUUUUUUGUUAGGGUAUCUUCUUGAAGAAAGUACUUAAUAUCCAUCAUCUUUAUUGGGAUUUAGACAGAUCUCACAGCACUUCAGCAUCAUUAAUAUUCUUGUCAUUCUUCCAGAGGCUACUGAUUAAUAGUUUCAGUCUCUUGAUUGCACAGUUCCUAUACCCACUUACAUGCUUGCUUGUGCCACUGCCCUUUGAAUUAACAAGUUUUUGUAAAGCAGUAGGAUCUUUUUUUGAGCCUCAGAUUUGAAUGAUCUUCUAGUAACCAAAUGUUCUCGUUCACCUUUUGAAGACUCCAUUCCUCAAAGAAAAUCAUGGGUCUUGGAUAUUAUGUCCUUUAAGUAAUGUUAUUGUAUCUUGGCUUACAAAUGAUGUAAUUCCAAGUGCUGUCUUUCAUUUUUAGACCUGUUGCAAUGUAAUCACACCAAUCUUUGCAAUCUGUUUGCAAUAUUUAACCUUCACAUAUAUUAUAGCAUUUUACGUUUUAAACCUUCAAUGAUUAUGAUCAGGACGAGUGGGUAAUCUCCCGAGUCUUUCAGAAGAGCUGCGGUGGAGCUGCUGCGAGCAGUGGAAACAUCACCAAGAAAAACCGCUUCGACACCACUAUCAAUCUCUACACAGAAGCCAACUCCCCAUCUUCAGUCUCUCUCCCUCCCCUCCUUGAUGCUACCACUACCAUUACCACCACAACUCUCAAUGACCGUGACAGCUGCUCUUACGACAACCACACUCAGCACGAGCACGUGUCCUGUUUCUCCACCAUUGCAGCUGCUGCUUAUGCCGCUGCUAAUAACAACAUUAACUUUGAUAUUGCUCAACUGCCUCCACCUCCAAUGACUGAUCCAUUCUCAACAUUCCCAGGAAACACUGGUGUCAAUUGCUUCCCAAGUUUGAGGUCCAUUCAGGAAAAUCUUCAGCUGCCCUUCCUUUUUGCCUCCCCAGCCUCUGCUGUGGCUGUACCGCCGUUUCAUGGCGGUGGUGCCACCACCACCAUGAAUUGGAUGGUAAACCCCUGAGGAGGGGCCGGGAGGGUUGGUGGUGCUGGUUGCAUGUGGACUUCUCGAGUUUCCAAAGCCAGAGAUGAACACUAGUUAUGUGUUGACUACUAAAAUUGUCUGCAUAUUUUUUCUUUAAUGAUUUCUGUAUUAUUUGUACUAAUUAAGUGGACUGAUAAUAGCCAGGGCAGGAUUGGGUAAUCGAUCUUGUUGUUAGAUGUCAGUAUCAGUAGCAAUUACUGGUUUAUGUGUGAUGAUUAUCUCUUAAUUUGGAAAGUGACUUAAUGUCCCAUCAUCGUUAAUGUUAUGUUCUCCUUUUUCUAGGGUUUUUUUUUUUUAUUUUUAUCACUAACUUGUUUGGCAUUGCCAUUUAAUUUAAAUCUAACGCCGGUUUGUUGCUGAAAAAUAUUUUUUUAAAAAAAUAAAUUUUAAAAAAAUAAAUUAUUUUUUGAUAUUUAGUAGUGUAAUGAAAAAUAAGUUGGAAAAUAUUUUAAUGUUUUAUUUUUUUUAAGUUUAUUAAAAUAAUGAGGAAUAAAUUUUAUAAAUUAAAAAAUUGAAUAAGAAUAAAAUUGAAAAAAUAAUAUAAUUUCAUAAAUUAUUUCAAAUAAAAUAAAUAAUAAUCAAAAUAAUAGAGAUUAAAUCUAAAAAAUAAAAAAAUUAAAAGAUGAAUAAAUUAAAAUAAUAAUAACUAAUAUUUCAUAAAUUAUUUCAAAUAAAAUAAGUAACAAUUAAAAUAAUGAAGAUCAAAUUUGAUAGAUAAAAAAUUUUAAUUAAAAAAAUGAUAAGGAAAAAACAAAUAACAAUUAUAAAAAUGAGGAUCAAAAUUAAUAUAAAAAUUAAAUUUUAAAUGAUGAAAUUGAAAAAAAAAUAUUCAAAACAAAAUAUAUAUAGCAAUCAAAAGUUUGAGGACCAAAUUUGAUAUAAUCAGCAAAUAAUACGACAUUUUUAAAUUUUUCACAACUUCUGGAAAGUAUUUUUCGCCCAAAAUAAAAAAAAAACAUUUUCCUGAAAAUCAAGCUAAAUUUUUCUUUAACUAGAAAGUAUUUUUCGUUGACCGGAAAAUGUUUUUUUUUUAUUGUUUUUAAAUUAUUUUGAUUUGAUUAUAUAAAAAUAAAUUUUAAAAAAUAAAAAAUAUUAUUUAAUAUAUUUCAAGAAAAACAUUUUAAAGAUAAAUCUUUACUAUACUUCCAAGUAGGCUUCAAUUAUGGAAUAUAGCAGCUAUUUAUUUGUAGUAAAAAUUAAUAAAAUUUAGUUUUUAAAGUAUUUUUUACUUGAAAAUAUAUUAAAAUAAUUUUUUAUAGUAGUAUAUUAAAAAGAUUUAAUAACACUAAAUUUUUUUUUAAAAAAAUUAAACUUUAUCGAAAAUCAAGUUCAACUCAAUAUCUAAACAAUAAGAUGUUUCACAUGUGGAUGAACGGUACUCGUUAUAUUAAGUUUAUAUUAGGUUGCUAAAGUGAUUAAUUACAAAACUAUGGUAUGUUUUAUGGGAAAAUUGGAUAGUUGCUAACUGAUCAAUGAAGAAAAACCCUAACUAGAUAACGCCAGAUUCUACUGUUAUUUUCCUGCCAUGAAUGAAGGAGGAGAAAGGACAGUAAUUGAGCUAAUUAUAAACUUUUAUUUAUUUAUUUUUAUCUGAGUGCACCAACUUUUAUUUUGUGUGUUUUUAAUUUUAUUUUAUUUUUCAAAUCAAGUGUCGGGUAUGAACAUUAUACUUUAUUUCGAAUUGUGUCUUAGUGUAUGUAUUUUUCUUUAUUAUUUCUAUUUGAAUGCACCCAUUUUUAUUCCUUCUAUUUAAGUGAUUAGAAAAAAUUUAAAAUAUUAAUUUAAAAAAAUUAAAGUAAGAGAAAAAUUCAUUAAAAUAAUUUAAAAAUAAAAAAAUAAAAAAAUAUUUUUAAAACGUAAAAAUAAACUGUAGUAAUUGAAUUUGGUGGCGAUUGGUGGGGGGUUUUGGAAACUUGGAGCUCACCUUUCACACAUGGUCCUGGUCUAGGAAGGGACUUGGAGAAUAUGGAUGCCCCAUCCCUACUUGUAGAAGGGACACAUUUAAUGCUCCUUUGACAUUGUUUCCCUUCUGUGUCAGCGUGGGCAAGGACCAGUCUAUCCACCUGCAUGCGUCCUAGUAAAUGGUACUUCCUCUAGAUGACAAGUUAUAUUGCUGGCAUGACUGUGUUCCUACUUUGUUCUGCUGUGUUGCAAGAUUUCAUGUAUUUUUACUUUAAAAACAAUGUUACUACAAUUCUAAACGAAACUUGAAAGAAAAGAGAAAAGGAGAAGCCAUCUGAUGCUGAUGAACUUCAAUCUGUCACCACAGUCGUUUAUCUGAGAGAGAGUUCUUCAUCUUUUAAGGGAAUUAAACAAGUUAUUCUCCAAUUCAUGGAUCCCUGGCUGCCAGUGCUUUGCAUGAUCGAUUACUUCUGGGAAAACAUGCUGUCGAUAAUAUAGUUUAUAGGACCUAUCAUCUAUGAAAUGCAGCACUAUUUUAGAUUGUGACCAAUUAUCACGACCAACAACAGCUGUCCAUAAUAGUCUACCAUCUGAUUGAAUCUUUCCAACCUCUAGCACUAUUUGUGGGAGACCAUUGCAGAAGACUAGUAGGGUAAUAAUGUAAGGAAGUGCGGAGUAGCAAGUCAACUUGAGCAGGAGAAACCAGAUUUUCUUACGGAGUUUCUUCCAGUCAAAUUGGUAAUUAAUAUCUUUCCCGGGUUGGUCUCACCUACACAAAGGGUUUUCCAGUACUCAUGGAAAGCGCUCUGCACAGAGAUGUACCACUCAAAACUAGAAAAGUUAAAAAUAAACGAUUAAUUGAGAAAACUAAAGAAAAAUUAAUGGAAAAAAUCAAAUUCAAAUAAAAAAUUGAUUAAACUAAUUUUCAAAAUCAUAAAUUUUAACAGGUCAUGUUCGGUUUUGGUUUUAAACCAGAAACCGGACCAAACCAAACCUGAUCCACUAAAUAAUUAACAAAAAUUUAUGGUAUAAAUAGUUAACUUGCAACCAUACCGGCUAACCCUAACAAUUAACAUCAUCUUCCUGCCUCUCAUAAAAAGCCACCUCCUUCCCCUUUCAAUUAAUUCCCAAUCUUUCUUUUCCAAUUUCUUGACUUAGAUAAGCAACUGUAUACAUAAUAAAAGUAGUGGGGCAGCUAUAAAAGAGAUUAAAUGCCCUUUGCGUAUCAAUCUCCUUUUGCUUGUACUGUUUGCCGUUCGAUGGACAUUUAAAGGCCCGAAGUCAUCUUUAUCUCAAGUAUCUGGAAACUUGGCACAUAUUUGAUCAAUUCCACUGAAAGAUUGAAAUAGUUUCUGUUUUCUAGCCAUAUGGGAUAAUGAUUUUCCACAUGGAGGAUCCAAUACCAUCGAUGGCUUGUCCAACAGACUCCUGAGCGACGGCAGCGCUGGCCUCGAAGGAAGCGGGGAGAUCAUGGCUAGCGCGUGAAGCGACAUCACGGAUAAUGGCGGAUUCAUUUUUCAAGCCAGAUUCGAAUUCUUCUAAGUCUUUCUUGUAGAUUUCGAUGACGAAUUCAGAUUUGGUUGCUAAGGUUUAGAUGAGAGAGCCAAAGGACCAGGUGGAGUUUUGGGUUGGCGGGUCAAGGUUCGGGUUUUCAGAGCUGGGAGGAGGGGAUUUGGAGGAGUCUAGAUGAUGGGAUUAGGUUUCCCAGUUUUUUGCCAAAAAAACCGGAUUUAACCGGACCGGACCGGUUCGGUUAAUAUUUCAUAAAAUUAAUGUAAUUUGAUUCGAUUGGUUUUUUAAGUUUAAACCGAACCGAACCGAACCGUGAACACCUCUACUAAAAACUUGUUUUCCGGUCACCAGACCUUACAAUUUCUGUGACAGAAAACGUACGCGAGUGUGUGGCCCUAGAGAGAUGCACUAAACUACCACCGGCGCCCAUCUUCAGAAGGAUUUCAUGACAUAACUUAUCUCACGAGUCACAGACUGAACAAGGACACUAGGUCACUGUGUUUGAAGAAAGCUGCACACAGUUACAAACGCUACAUAGCUUUGAGGGUCAAAUUUGUUUGGGACCAAUUGAGUGCACAAAAGAACUCUGAAGUAAUGAUGGAUGGGCUGUGAAUUGUGAUGAUGAGGAUGGUCAGCAUCUUUUUGUGUAUUAAGGUAGACAUAGGGCACAUGAUCUGUUCAUGAUGGGCAAUGCAUUCAGUGGCAUAACAUUUUGGGCUGCGUUGGGACCAGUGGAGUCGGGUCUAGUUGUGCAUGGAAAUGGUGGAGCACGCUAGCACCUCAAUUGGUGCAACUUUUGGACAUAAAUGUAUUUGGGCCAUGCCAGUUUCUGAUGAACAAAUAUUUUUAAAUUUUGAUUUCUGAGUUUCAUUAUUUUGCUUUAUAAAUAGAAUGACAAUAUGGUGCAAAAUGGACAGCUGAAAAAAGAGGGUUCGGUCUGAUCCAAAAAAAAGAAUUAUGGACUGUGCCUUUAAUUUCAUUCAAGAUGGUUCUAUGGGCAGCUGGAGCUCGCUUGAGCUUGAAAUUUGAAUGGCCUUGAUGCCUAAACGAUACGGAGAUAAUAAAUAAGCUUAUAAUGAUAUUUUAACCCUAAAAUCUAACCCUUUUUUUUUU
rnacentral:lncRNA from 1 species